GUCCGUCCAGCCGCGUCGGUGGGCUAUAAAAAGCACAGGCCAGACAGCACAGCUUCUCCUCCUCGCGAUCCGCGAUCCUCGCCCUCUGCAAAGCAUAGACGGCACAGUAGGGCACACCAAAGCAAAAGUAGUAGCCGGCCGGCCAGCCAGCUAGCUCCCCUGCGCCUCCACACUUCUCUGCGCCGCCGGCAGAGACCUCCUGCCGCUAAUACCCACACCCACACGGCCGCCGCCGGCCGGCCGGCUACACGUCCGUCGUCGUGCGCACAGCAGGUGCCCCUUGAUCAUCUUGCUGCUUCUUGCAUGCACUAGGCUAGCUCACCUCAGCCCCGGCGGAGGAGACGAUCGAUCGAUCCCCUCCGAUCCUGCCCCCUGCUGCACCUUGCUAGCGAAUUCCACCCGUGCGCAACGCUCAGUUUUCAUCCCACGUCCAGCUAGGCACAGCUGCCGAUCGAUGGCUCCCGCCGCCGCCCGGGCGGCACCGAAGAAGAAGACGAAGACGUUCGUGCAGAAGCGCGGGCAGGUAUUCAAGAGGGUGCUGGGGAGCCUCUUCUCCUGGCUGCCGCGCUGCAGGCUGCAGCAGCUGUUCCGCAAGAACCGCGCCCCUCGCGGACGCCGCGGCAACCGCGUCCCGGCCAACGGAGGCCACGUCGAGCCGGAGCCCGACGUCGCCAACAACACUAGCUACUCCGCCACACGCGCAACCCUGAACGCACACCCAGCAGUACUAGGUCAGUGAUGUUAAAUUUCUGUACGUGCGUGCGUACGUGCGCUGCUCGGUCGUCGGUCGGUUUUCCCCAGGUUUUCAGUUUUCUCUAGGUCCACACGCGUUCUUCCUAGCUAAUUCAUAUCUUGACGCGCGACCAUUUCUUAAUUUCUCAGGCCGGGUGAAUUCCAUCCUCUAGCUACGGAAAGAAAAGAAUUCUCCGGGUCCUCGUCAAGCAAGUACACGGCCACAACGACGACGACGACGGAGGGAGUCAACGCGUGUCUCAACUUAAUUAUGGAUAUAUCAGAACCGGAGAGCUAGCACAUGAGACGGCGGGGUUGCUGUGCCUGCUGCGAUAUAUAUGCGCAUGCCUCUCCUGUGUACAAGUCAACUUAUUAUUGUUUCGUUUUUUUAUGGGUUAUUUAUUGCUUCAUUAUUAUUGUAUCUUCGUAUCACUGGAUUUGCAUGGUAGAUUUGGAUUACUACUGCGUGUAGGCGGAUCGUGGUCGUCGUCGUCCUUAUUGUACGCGUCCUGUGUGUGUUCUGGUCUCGGCUAAAUUAAAGUGUUCAUUCGUCGUUGAUGGAUGGACGCAGCAUGUUCCUGUGUUCCGUCACGAUCUAGUUGGUAUUUAAGCUGUCAUCAGGUGUUAUAUUCAGUCAGUACGUACGGUAAACUGAUUGAUUGACAAGAAUAAAAGAUGGUCAAAUUAAAUAUGUGUGCUUCACCCAAUUCAAUGUAAGUGUCUCAGCAAACAGACUGAAAUGACUUGAUUCGUUUUUUGUACAGGAAAGAAAAUGACUGCUUGCUUGCUCUCUUGUCCGAUUCAGAACAGAAAAAAAGGGCAGAUGCCUAGGACCCGCAGCUACCGCUUCUGUUUGCUGAGCCCAAACAUUCGGCCCAGAGUGAUGAUGGGUCCCCAGUCCCCCGGCUAACCUUCCACACGGUUCACAAAAAAAAAGAUGUUCAAGGCCCUAUAAUUUAGCCCAACAAGGGUUACUUUUCGUUUUCGGUUUUCUUCCUACUUUUUUUAAAGGGUCCGAUUUUUUGUGAUCCUAAACCUAUGCCAUUGUAAAAAUAAUGUGAUAAGUGAGGGACAAUGAAAUAAUCAAAUUUCACAAACUAAUUUCUCACAAGCAUAUCAUCGAACACCUUGUGUGCGUAGCUAAGACAACCCCUUAAAAUAAAUCUGUCAAACCACGAGGUGUCCAAACCUUCCAACAACAAUAUACUUUCAUCAAUUAGCUCACUAAUACAUCAGCCCCAUCAUCUUCAACCCAACAUAUCAAAUAACACACAAACCCCUUUCAUGCCAACUCAUCCAUACAGGCAACCAGUUCACACAUGAACCAAUAGAAAAGCAAGAUGGUGACUUAUAAUUAACACAAAUGGCAAGAGAAAAUACAAAAUCAAGAAGGAAAACUGAGAUUUAUGUGGAAACCCCUUGCGGGAAAAACCCAUGGGUGACAACGAGACUGUUGCACUAUGAGAUGAUGAAGCAAUGCACGAGAUGGGGAGCCAACAAAUGAGUGGACGUUGCAAAUCCCCCACAAAUAUCUCUUUUAGUGGUGGAUUUGGUGGGGUCAAAGACCUCUCUCUCUCUCUCUCUCUCAAUCUUCAUAACCAUAGCUCUCUCUACUUCUCUGUUUUUCUCAUCAAGAACAUAAUAGAGCACACACUCUAGGUGAGGGAGGCUCGGCAGCCCCCCUUUUGAGUUGUUUUGGUCUCUUUUCUAAAGAGUCCUUGAGGUUGUGAGAGACUCCAAAAGAGCCCAUCUCAAUAGGGGGCUGCGAUCACAAAAAAGCAAUCACAAAUAAUAAUAACUCUCACCCUGUUUCUGUUCUCACCUUUGUUAUUAGUUUACUUUUACCGCUUCUGUCUAAUAUAAACAUCUUGAAAACAUGCACUUUCCUUUUCAAUUUUCUUUGCUUGUCAUUAGCCUUGUGUAAAUUUGGAGUUGUGACAAACUAUUCUUCCUAAUCACAAUGAUCAGGGGCUUUGGAACUGUUGCAUGGGUAGAUGUUAAAGAGUACAAAACCACCCGACCUGACAAGAAUACAAGAUAGCAGUUGAUGUUGUUGAAUUGCAAAGUUUAAAGGCAAUAACCAUAUAUCAGAUCUAGAUGCUUUGUUUAUGGAAUGAUGACUGCAGUUGGCGGUGGGGUAAGUGAAGUACAUGAGACUAGAGAAGAGUCAGGAGUAGUAGUUUGGAAUUUCUCUCUGCUCAUCACGGCGUGAUUUUUGAACAAAGUAAAGACUAUAAAUAACUGCAAACUAGGUCUAUAUAUAUAUUUUUUAAAGGAACUAGAGUAUACAAUUAGAGUGUUCUCUACCAAAGAUAUUGCCUACGUUGUUAUGGACAUAAUUUUUGUAUGAAAUGGUGUAAUUAGGAAGACUUGGUAAACAUAUUAUAAUGGAUAUAAUAUUUCCACUUUAAUUUGUCAUGCGCAAGAGUUACUUCAGUUUGAUUUAAUUUGUUUGUUGUGGAAAGCCGCCGAAUAAGUCUUUUUAAUUCUUUUGUUUAAUACAAAAUUUAUAUACAGUAGCAACGUGUGUGUCAAUAUCUUAUCUUUGUUUAAAUGAAUAUAUAUGCGUAUCAUAUAUAUGCAUGUGGUGUAACAAGUUGAAUUGAGUUUUUUAUACUGAUUUGUGAUGCAAUGGACGAUACGUGAUCCUGUAGCAACAUAUGGGCGCUCACCAAAUUCCUGCAAAAACAAGUUAAGAGAGUGUUUCAAAAAUAAAAUGUCGUGUCAUGGUGCUACUAUACGGAAAUAAACAAUUUUAAUGAUUUUUUUAUUAUAAUCUCAAGAACACUAGGCAGUUUGUCCAUGAUAGUGAGGCGCAUAUGAUUAAGGUACAGUACUAUCCAAGCUGGAUGAUGCGUGUCCCUCUAUUAUUCCUUUUCGGGUCGAAACAAUCUAAGAUACAAUGAUAUGCAACAAAAAAAAACUACCUAAGACCUCAAUACUAACAACUUUUAAUGUAGGGAUUUUUUUUUGCUAAUCUUAAGGUUUGCUGACUCAAUCUCUUGACAGCGGUGCUUAGGGAAAAACCAUGAUGGACGGGCUGAAUAAAACUUAUCUGUCGAACAUCGUCCUUUCACAAUACCUUUUGACAUCUGUAUUAUCAUAGUCUCUAGCAACAAAGGUGUGAUCGUCCCGUUUCUCAUGUUGAACACACCACUGUCACACGCAAAGGAUCUGGAGGACAAUCUCCCCAACCAUAGUCACACAUAAAGAUAUGCAAUCUGCCUGAGGUCCACACUCAGAAGCUUGGAAAGCCUUAGAAUAUGGGCCAACAAAGAGUGCGCUUCACUUUCUAGAGAGUUGAACCGCCUCCAUUGAACAGAAGAAGAGGUGGGAAAAUUGACGUCAAAUACUUCAAAUGAAAAGGUGCGGUGGUUCUUCUGAUCUAGCAACACGGACAAGGAUCCAACUAGUCGCGUUACAUAUAAUAACUUACCACCACUGGAUUCUACAGGAUACCUGAAAUACACACAGUAUGUUUCAAGCUAGCAAUGGUUUGGCAAAUGACGUCGUUUGCGAUGCAUUUCAUGGAUGAGAUUUUUGGCUUGCACAUGCCGCUUGACUCCACCUCAAGCACGAAGAGCUUCCUGGCUGAGAGAGCAUAUAGCUUCCCAUCAACGAGUGCAACAUCACAUAUUUUCUCAUAGUCCGGCACACGGAAUGCAGAGGCCCAAGACGGUGUCUACAUCAGGUAGCUGCAUGACAUCCUUGGAGAAAGGGUUCAUCAGUGACAGCAGCGAGCCCCCGUCGCCGGUGCGCUGCUUGAGAAAGAGCCAGUUGCCCAUGAAGCCAAGGCACUGAGAAUUGUCGAGCGGUGAAUUUUACCGUCCCGGAUGUUGAGGAAGGUGCCGUCGUUAAGGAUGAGCCACGGGAACGGAGCUAGGCGGCACGGGCUCUAGCCGUGCACUGUGGCGCCAUGGGCGGCAGACCGCUGCCAGUCGGACGCGAUCUGCUAGGGAGGGUAGCCGCGCCAGGACAAGGCCCGGAACCUCCGGCCACAAGUCUGCCCAAGACGGGCAGUGUCUGCAGGCCGCCGCCAUCACGCGAGAGAUCGAGAUCUGGCCGAUGGAAUUUUGGGCGGACCUGUACUCGAACUCCAACCAUGCGAGGAGGAGGUCGUCGCGGUGGUCGACGAGGUGAGGUGGUGUGGUGUUGGCCGGACCGGAGUGCUGCACUUCGUUCUGGGCAUGAGUACAUGACGAGGCUCGAGGCCGAAACUGCCGGGCCCGUCACACGCGUGAGGUUUGAUGGCUCCUGCGACUUGCAUGUUGUGUGCUCUUGGAGCUGGAGCGGAAGGGCAGUUUGUUUACUAGCUCCUGUAUUUAUAUUAUCAGCGAUGCUGUGUUAAAUGUUGAGGCAAGAAUACAAUUACUUGUGAAUCUGCGUAAGAUAUUGGCUAGGCCACAAAUUUUCCAUUUCGCAGAAAUAUAUUUGUCAGGAUCUUAGGACAUCUGACAUAAAAAGGCCAGGUUAUGCUUACUCCUUCUAAGACAGCCCAUUGAGAAAAGGGCCCAGUUUUACAUGACCAUGGGCCGGGCCAUGAUUUCAUUCCAUUUACAGGUAAAACGACUUAACUGGCGAUUCCUUAAUUUGUUCAAAAAAAAAUGGUCAUUCCUUAAAAGAAAAAAGUUUGUUCUACCUCUUCUCAUCAAAUUUUAAAAUCAGACGUUUUAUUUCUUGCACUUUCAAAAUCACUAAAGUUAUCUCUCUGCCCCGGUUUGUCACGACUUUGAAGAUGGUUUAUUCUUUUUAGUUAAAAAAAUAAUAAAUAGUUGAUAAGGUUUUUAAACCACUAAAAAUGUCUCUAAACUUUAAAAGACAAUAAAAAACUCUGAAGAUAGAUUGAGAAAUGACAAAUCUAAAUAAAAUAUUUAGAGCUCAUAAAAAUAUCUCUAGAAGCUUAAAAAUAUAUUAUAAAGAUAUUUAAAUGCUUUUAUUUGGCAUAUUCCAAUCUGUCUCUAGAUUUUUUUUAGGAUUUUAAAUGUGUAGAGACAUUUUCUAUGGUUUUAAAACCUUUUAAGUAUUUAUCAGUUUUUUUAAAACUAAAAAAAGACAAAACCAUCUUCAAAAACCACUCCAAACGAUUAUGGAGGUAAUUUGAACGGUUUCAAGAGUUCAAUGGAAAAAAAAUAUGGUUUUUAGUUUAAUGAGAAAAAUCAGAGUACGACGAUGGUUUCGAAAGGUAUAAUAGACAUUUCCAUGCACUUGCUACUAGUCGCAUACCUACGUGACCAUCAAAGUUUUUCCUCUCUUUUUUUUUUCUUUUUUCAAUUUGUAUUUCUCUUUUUCUUUUUUUUUUCUCUCUUUUACGUAUCCAUCCUACACCUUUGCUCCAACAUGCUAUAUCUAAUUUUUUAUCUCCACAGUUUUCAAAAUAAAAUCAAUUACUAACCUUAUUUGAAAAUGUGUCUUCAAUCUCUUAAUUUGGUAGCGUAAGUUGUGUUAUAAUCUUUUUAGACAUAACUUUUUCUUGUCCUUUCGUUUACUCCAGAGUUUGUUACCGGACAGCAAGAGUUACAAGCCAAUCGAGAAUUCAAGCUGAAGACAACAUUUGCACACGUUACAGCUUCGCCAACAAGCAAGUAAUUAGCUAGGAGUACAAGAGAUCUCUCCUCCCACUCUAACAACAACAACAACAAACCGUGAUCCAUCAACACACAGGUACUGCUUAUAAAUUCUAGAAUCAAACUAGCAGGAUGUAAAAGACAAAAACCAAUCGUCAAUUUUGCUAUAAAUGUGUUGCCCAGCCCUGCCUUCAAUAUUGCAUCUAGCUUCAUUGAUGCUGAGGCUAUGCCUUUAAUAGCAAGGUCAGUGUCACUGCUGCUGGUCAUUAGUCCGCCAGCACUUGAUCCUCAUCAUCAGCACCCAACCAUUGCACGCCAAAAAAUAAGAGGAUCAUCAAUACUGCCCAACUAAGGCCCAUGACGAUAACAACAUUUGAAUCAACGAAUGAAAGUGCACGUCACUGCCGCAGGACAUAUGGAGCAAAGCAAUAUGCUAGCUGUAGAGCAGACCGCCACUGCUACUCAAUAAUUAACAGUAUAUACAUGUCUUAGUUGAUACUAAUUAUAAAGAAAGAACGGCCGCGGGCAGUGCAUGUUUUUGGGAAAAAAAAAUCGAAGGACGGCAGAAAACAACUAAACUCAAAUCAGCCCUCCCCCCCCCCCCCCCCAACCCCAACAGAAAUAUCACUUACAAAGGAUUUAGAAUUCAACCUUUGUAUUGACUAGCAGUAGCCUAGUUAUUACGAUACUCUCGCAGUCUCUAAAAAACUAUCAUUUUUUUGUUUCUCUACCGUAAGUUUAAUCAGAUUUGUAAUAAUAAGUGCGUACUCCCUCCAUACCUUAAUUACUUGUCGUUUUGGCCUCUUAGCCCGUUCUCGCAAAAGAUGACGCUGUGCACAGUUUAGACGCGCAUGCCCCUGUCCGUCACCUUCUGACUUCACAACCAUAAAAAAAGCGUGCUUGCAGGGAGUCGAACCGUCGACCUCCAGUCUUACUCCCUCCUAGAAUUCGUGUCAGUCAAACUUUUCUAACUUUGACCAACUUUAUAGAAAAAAGUAUCAACAUCUAUGACAUAAAAUAAGUAUCUUACGAAAAUAUAUUCUAUAAUAAAUUUAAUGGUAUUAAUUUGGUACUAUAAAUCUUAGUAUUUUUUUCUAUAAAUUUGGUCAAAGUUGUAAAAGUUUGACUUAGGACAACUCUAGAAAUUGCAGCUUUCAGGGACGGAGGGAGUAGACCACAGAGAACUAACCAGUCAAGUUAUGCAACAUUGUUGUAAAAGUGACACAUGCGGUGUUAUUUAAUAAUGGCAAAGUAGGAAAAAUACACUCUAAUUAAUCACUCCUUGGUAAGCACAAUCAUGUCCUAAACGUCAACUAAUUCAGGUAUGGAGGGAGUAUCUCCAAAUAAAUUUAUUACAAAAAUACAUUCAACAAUCUAUGUAAUGAUAUUAAUUUUUAGCGAUAAAUAUUAAUAUUAUUUCUAUAUAUCUUUAGUCAAAGAUGUUUGUUGAGAAGAAAAAACAACAGUUACUAGUAUUUAUGAAAGGACGGAGUAUAUAAGUAGUAUUUAUAAAAAUCCAUACAGCUAGAUUGAUAAUAGAAAAAAUCAUAGAAUACGCCAUAUAUGGACACUGAUGGAGUACUAUCAACGUAUUGAUGGUAAAAAGAGCAGUAUCGCAAUCAUUAUCGGAUCUCCAAAGACACGCACAUAUUUGCAUUCAUGCACGGCGGGACGGCUGCAUGCAUGCAUGCCUGCAUAUCAUUGAACCAAAUCAUAUACGCCUACUACGUUUCUUUCUCCUUUAAUUUAUUGUGCUUGCUCUCGAUCGACUGGAUUUUAAUAAUUUCCUUAUGCUCUACGGCAUGUCUGCGUUAGUGAGCAGUACACCGAUGGCUUGCUCUCGCCGCCGUACCGGCCGCUAUAUAUCUAGUCAAGAGAUGCCCGGCCGGCCACGCAUUAACGCCGAGAGUCAUCCGGCGAUGAUCCCCUCUCGAUCGCUGAUUCGCACAAACACGCAUGGCCGUGCUACUCUACUACUACUGCGGAAGAUGAUGGAACUGAAACCAGAAAAAUCCCAAUAUGCAUGGCAGCAUGGGUUCAAAAUUAAGUAACAUAACAUCUCUUCUCUACUAACAAUAAUCACACAUGGCGUCGCAUUGGCUCCACAAUGAUUUGCAGGGCCGUGCUGUUAGUACCGCCAUUAACCCCAUCAUUAAUUCUCACUCCCGCCGCUUGGCCACUCGCAAAGGAACAGCGGGAUCGAAAACCCACGCACAUGUCUUUCCUCGCCUCCCGUUUCGAUCGUCACUGAAACCCACACUGCAGCAGGGAAUCUGCUUUGAAUUAACAGCUAGCUAGUAGUCCGAUCCAUGGACGAGCGAGGACAUAAAUGCCUAGGCCUCUCUCCUCCGGCCAUUUACUGGGAUCAAAUGCACAUUUAUUUGCGCGCGCGAGCGAGAGAGAAGCAGGGAGUUACUUCGAGCUCGCGAUAUCAUCAUAUCGCGCAACAACCCUCGUCUAAUGAUCGCUGUCUCUCGUCGUGUGCCCUGGCCGGCGGAAGCCCGGAACCGGAACAGGCGUACUGUCUUGGCAUCAUCAUCCGUCCAAAUGAACUUGAUGAUGAUUAGUACGUGCUCCCCAGUACGUCCACGAUGUCGACCGCGUCCAAAUGAGCUUGUUUUAGUUGUUUCUCAUCGAUCGGAUUCGUCAGAUGGGUUUAUUUCGUUUUGGAUUGUAUAAGUCAACUUGUUCUAGGCGGUAAGAUACUCUGUCUGUCGUCUCUUCAGUAUGCAUAUGCAUCCGUCUGUCUGUCUGUCUGCAAUUCAGACACCUAAUAUUUCUAUUGAAUGCUGUGGGUGCAAACUGCAAACCCUAUCAAAGUGUUAUAAUGCUUCCCUGGAGAGGGACCACGAUGAGCUUGCUGCUUGCCUUCAAUUAAACAAUCCAUGUACUUUAGGCAUGCAUAGAGAAAACAAAAUGCAAUCUCAAUAUAUAAUAGUUUCGUUCAUAUAUAUAAUUAAGAACGGCAAAAAAAAAAGUGAAAUCAUUCCCGCAUUAUACAUGAUGAUCAGGUCCUCGAUCGUCAACCUUGUUUUUCCCCUUGUGGUUGUGGUGUCAGUGUGUGAUCUGAGCAUGUACCUUCUGCUGUAGCUGCUGGGAUGAAAGCGCGUCUAGCGGAAGAACUGUGGUGAUGGACUGAUGGUGGUAGUUGGGCGCCAUUGCUGGCACUAGCAUGACAUGUUUCUUGCAACGACAGAGAGAGACACGGCUGGAGCUUUGGACUGAAGCUGCAGGUGGAACUGGCUGGACUGGAAGCAGUACCAGUACCACUUCUCUUUCCGGACAAUACUGUUUGGGGAUCUUUUCGGUUCAACAUGCUACACUUUGGUGGUUCUGGAGAUGAACAAAAAAAGACAGCCCCAGAGAGAGAACCAGAAGUCAGUAGUUCAUGCAGGGACCAUGCAUGGUUGGGGAGAACCCGGCCGGAGCUUGGCGAGAACCUGUGUUGACCCAAAGCGGAAGGAGGGAAAACGUUAUUGUAGCAGUACAAGAACUUGAGGUGGUGUGUGUACAUAACAUAAGGCUGUCGAUAAAUGAAUUCAGAAGUGGUGUGUGUACCAAGGCCUUGUUUAGUUCCCAAAAAAUUUUGCAAAGUUUUUCAGAUUCUCCGUCACAUCGAAUCUUUAGACACAUGCAUGAAGUAUUAAAUAUAGACAAAAAUAAAAACUAAUUGCACAGUUUGGUCGAAAUUGACGAGACGAAUCUUUUAAGCCUAGUUAGUUCAUGAUUGGACAAUAUUUGUCAAAUACAAACGAAAGAGCUACAAUAUCGAUUUUGCAAAAUAUUUUGGAACUAAACAAGGCCCAAAAUAGAUGACUGUUUCUCUGAAAACCAAAAAGAACGUCGAAACGUAAAGGCAAUGAUUAUUUGAAAUGCGAAGGACAUGGCAGAAACCAGAAAUGCAGACUACAAUAAGGAGACAAUAUGCUACAAUAAUUAUUAUUCCAUCCACUACGGCUAUACUACGCCCACAAAGGGCAAACAUGAAUGUAAAUGAAGUCAAGUCAUAUACUAGUACACAAAUCAGGAAAAUACAUUUAUUGACUAAGCAUUCAUCUAUGAAAAAUAAAAUCCUAGAAAUCCACACAAGAUCCGUUUGCCCAGAUAGCAAGCAAGAUGGCAUACAGUAUUUGUAAUUGCAAGAACAAUUUCAACAAAACUUCUACUUCGAACCUAUUUUACUUUUGAGGACCAUGUAGCAAAAAUCAAGCUCCGUCAAGGCCUCUAUUCGCACCCUCAAAAUUCAAUCCUAGAAAUCACAGAAGACCCGUUUGCCUAGAUAGAUAGCAAUAUGGCACACUGAUAUUUAUAAUCUCAAGAGCAACUUCAGUAAGGCCUUAGGGUUAGAAAUUUUUUGUCGACAUCGAACCAACAAGUGCCGUUUUGGUGCUUAGCACCCUCCAUCACCGGUUUACCGGGAUCAAUGGAAUUAUUCAGAUGGGGCGCUCACCCCCCGGUGUUCUAUCAAAAAAAGUUUUCUAUUUUUUCUAUCAGUAUUUGCUAUUUCCUAUCAGUUUUCCACAGCCAUAUCUUAUUUUUUAGGGAUAUGUUGCAAAAAUAAUCAACCUCCAUCGUGUCCCCUAAUCAAGCCCUCAAAAGUAGGAGGCCAUCAAAUUCUCCCUCUAGCACUCAUUUCUAAGUGCUCUCCCCAAAGCCAGAUCUGCCCUCCCCGCUAGCCAAAAUUAGCUCCACAACACUCCUUGCACCCUUUGCCCUAUCAUUGGAAGCCUAGCUCUGCCCCCUUCUCCAAUUAUACCGAUCCUCCACCGUCGCUGAGCCCAAGCUCCUACCACUUUACACCCACCUAGAUCUCAACCCCAUGUCGCCCCAACCAUGAGCUUAGACCACCCAUCCUGCGCUCAAUCCCUAGUCACUCCAUUCUGAGCAUGGACACUAGUUUCCAUUUUGCUUGACUGUUGGCCGCCUAACCACUAGCCACUGAGCUCAUGCAAGAGUGCACACAUGAGUGUUCCUAGGAGAUGAGUUGGUAGUGAUGCAAACUCAUGUGGUAGGAUGUGUCGGUAAGGACAAAGAGAAGAAAAAAAGAGAGAAAACAAAGAACAUAUGCUGCACCUAACGACGAGUGGGUUCAUAUAUAUGUUAAUCUCUUUUGGAGUAAAUUUGAGGGCCCUUUACGAAGUUGAUGCCAGAAAAGGUAGGCUCUCUGUAAGUGCAUCUAGCCCUUUGGUGGACUACGUGAAAACAUGGUUAAAGGUCUAAUAAGUUUGUCAAGUGUUGAACAAAAAUUUAAUUAGGUUGCAUGCACUUAGAGAUAUGAUUUGUCGUAUGAUUUGAGGUGUAUCAGAGGUUAAAUAAGAAAGCAAACUUGAUGGUAUUUCAUAUCGUUUUGAAAUGAAAGCCAAAAUGAUGUAUUGUUGUGAAAGUAAUCUAGUUCAAGUAGAAGGCAAUAAUGUAAAUGAAACUGAUGAAAUGGCUUAUAUGUUAUGGGAUAUCAUCAUGUGAAAUCAAGCAUAUUUGUGAGUGACAAAAUAGGCAUAAGGUUAUGCAUAUGGAAUGGUCUCACUUGGAGAGCUUGCUUGGGAAAUCAAUUAAGAUGAAAAUGGAUUUUAUGAAAAGGAUUUCAAUAUAUGCUUAUUGUUGGUUCAAAUCACCAUGUAUCCUAGGAUAGCUUGAGAGGGUGAAAAUAGCAAGGGGAGAGGGCUUCUAAGAACCAAGCAAGGGUGAAGAUCAAGCGAUGGCUUGGGUGCAGAUGGACCACAGUUGCGAUGAAGAAGAGAGUACUUGCAUUAGGUAUUCACACUAAUCAUGCCAUGUCAAGUCACAUUGUGAGGAAGAACAGAUCAUUACUAGAUCUUAUAGAAGAAGUGACAUGGAGCCAUGAGUUGAACUCACAUAUUUGGAAUUGGUUCGAAUCGCAUGUUCAAGAUUGUGUUGCGCAAGAAGAUAAAGAUUGUUGCCACCCUCAUAUUUUGAAGAUAUGACUCAAGUUGUGAAUAUAAUAUCAUUCUUAUCCUGAGUAUAAGUAUGUCAUACUAGAAAGAGGGUUGCAACAUGAAUAGUUUGAUGUCUCAAGGGCUCAAACUAAUUGAACCAUAAGUGCUAGUAUAUAUGAGAGAAGCACAUAGCACAACACUUGCAUUUGUUUGCUUGUUCAUUGUUGGGAUGGUAGCCUGUAAAUAAGCUUUUCGAAAUAUUCAAGAACAUCAAAAUCAGAGUUCAAAGCUAAAAGGUGUUUUUCAUAAAGUGACUUGUGCUAUUUUUUUGAGGUGUCAGAAGUUCCAAUGAAAAAAUUGUAUAGUAGUAGUUUCUAGCGGCAGUAUUGUUCCAAUGAAAAAAACAUAAGUCCUAAUGUUUUUUGUAAUGUUUGAAAGACAUAAGAGAGUGUGGGUAUUUAUACUAUCGCCCCCUCACUUAAUUUGGAAGGGUUGUUGCUCUUCUCCCACUCCCCUAAUUGAACCAAAAGCCUUGCGAGCUCUCCAAAACCCCUCUUUUGUGAGGUUUGUGUUAUUUGUGAAAACCAUUUGAGUUGGAUCGAGAGAUUGCGAGUUAGUGAACACAAGAGAGCAAUUCAAAUCCUAGAGCACUUGUUAAGCUCCAUCAAUAGUUCAUGAAGCAUUUAUUACUCUUGGAGAUCUAAUCUCCUAGAUGGCUAGAUAAGAGUCAAGAGUGAGCAUCCAAGGUUGUGGAGUGUUGCAGCAAGUUUAUGAAGGCCUCGAUCUCAUCUUGGCAAUGGAAGAGAUUAAUAUUGUGGAUCAAUGAUAAUGGUUAAAACAAACCCAUCUAGAGUGCACCCUAAAGUGGUCACUCAUGGCUUCCCCCAACGAAGAUGUAGGGUUUGAAGUUCAGCGAACACAUCACUUGUCUCCUUUAUGCCUUACUUUUCAAUAUUUGUGUUUGUCCUGAUCUACUUAUUUGGUUAUGCGUGUUUGUGAGUGCAAGACCUUCUUAGACUUGAUAUUGGACAUCACCAAACUCAUAUAUCUAAGUUUCGUUUGAGCAGAACACUUAAGGCAUAGUUUCUUUUCGAAUUGCUCUGUCAAGCAUCAGAAGUUUUGAUCCUCGUUGGAACUUCCUAUGGUUAUUUUAGUCCACUGCAUUUUGAGUCGAUGAUUUUGUAGGAACUCAAAUUGAACUAUGUACUUUUCCAUUGACUUAUAUAUAUAUAUAUAUAUAUAUAUAUAUAUAUAUAUAUAUAUAAGUAUUCACAUCAACAUCCGCUUGCAUAUCCAACUAACACAUGCCAAGCUAUUCACAUUAGCAAGCCAUAGCAUUUACUAACAUAUAUUUAGUUAUCCACAUCAUAAUGCUAAAAAAAUCAUCCACUAACAUGUAUGAUGAUAUUUAUUUGUUUAUAUAAGUAGAUAUAAGUAUUAUAGUUUUAUCUGCUAUUCUCGUAGCAACAUUUGGGGUAUUAUUCUAGUUUACAUAUAUGGUGAAUACUCUACCAUGGGAGUAGGAGACAUCCAUUUGGGAACAUAGUUGCUGAACAGACAUAUCCUGGUAUUACUAGAUCCGUUCGUAUGGAUAGAUGAUUAGAUGUUAGGCCAUGUCACUAAUCUUGUGUCUUUACCACCAAAGCAAUCCACAGAAUGAGAUUACUUAAACUUGAUUGGUUCUUAAUAGAAAUUAACCACCAUCUACCUGGUAAGAAGAGGCACUGGCCAGCAGCACCCAGCAAAAACAUGUGGCAACACAUACCAACGAUCUACUAGGCAUGCAACAUGCGAGGUCAUAAGGCAACAAGAUCUUAGGUGUGUGCUUAGGGGCUGUGUUGUUUGGUUUGUAGUGUGGAAUUUUGUGGUGACAUUUUUCUUUUACAAAACACCUUAUAGACAUAGAUGUCCACAAACAUGUUCACACACUCAUCUCUAUGAAUGAACAAACUUCCUACCUUCUUGAGCAUCUUCAAAAGACUAGACCAAUAAAUCUUUAAUGAAGCGAUCAUAGACUUCUUACUAUCGUGAUGCAUGGCACCUACGGCCACAUAUAAUUUGAGUUUAUUGAGUUUAUUGCCAUGGGACCAUUUACUAACAUAUAUUUAGUUAUCCACAUCAUAAUGCUAAAAAAAUCACCCACUAACAUGUAUUAUGAUAUUUAUUCUUUCAUAUAAGUAAAUAUAAGUAUUAUAAUUUUAUCAGCUAUUCCCGUAGCAACGUUUGGGGUAUUAUUCUAGUUUACAUAUAUGGUGAAUACUCCGCCAUGGGAGUUGGAGACAUCCAUUUGGGAACAUAGUUGCCGAACAAACAUAUCCCGGUAUUACCAGAUCCUUUCGUAUGGACAGAUGAUUAGAUGCUAAGCCAUGUCACUAAUCUUGUGUCUUUGCCACCUAAGCAAUCCACAGAAUGAGAUUACUUGAACUUGAUUGGUUCUUAAUAGAAAUUAACCACCAUCUACAUGGUAAGAAGAGGCACUGGCCAGCAGCACCCAGCAAAAACAUGUGGCAACACAUACCAACGAUCUACUAGGCAUGCAACAUGCGAGGUCACAAGGCACAAGAUCUUAGGUGUGUGCUUAGGGGCUGCGUUGUUUGGUUUGUAGUGUGGAAUUUUGUGGUGACAUUUUUCUUUUACAAAACACCUAUGGACAUAGAUGUCCACAAACAUGUUCACACACUCAUCUCUAUGAAUCUAUAACUCUUAUAAAGCAAAAUCUCACUAUCUAUUUCUCUUAACAUGCAAUGCGUCCACCUUAGCAGUCCACUAUCAAUCUCACUAUUUAUUUCUCUUAAAAUGCAAAGAGUGCACCUCACCAGUCCACUAUCAUUUGCCACUAUCAAUUUCUCUUGACAUGCAAGGUGUCCACCUCAGCAAUCUACUAUCAUUUUCAUUAAAGUUCACUUCCAUAAGAAUUAUGACAUCCACAUCUGCUAGACACAUCAUCCACUAUGGAUAUAAUUUUCAUGAUUAUGCUAAUAAAAGAGGUAUAUAUUUAUAUUUCUUCUUCAUACCCGCGGCAACGCGCGGGGAAUCCUCCUAGUAUACACACACGAGCAUCUUCAAAAGACUAGACCAAUAAAUCUUUAAUGAAGCCAUCAUAAACGUCUUAUUAUCGUGAUGCAUGGCACCUAGGCUAUAAUUGUCAUAAAUUUGAGUUUAUUGAACUAAUGCUACGAUGGUUUUUUAUCGUUUCUAAGUUUAAACCUUGUUUAGUUUUCAAAAAAAUUCAAAAUUUCUCAUCAUAUCGAAUCUUUUGGACGUAUGCAUAGAGCAUUAAAUAUAGAUAAAAAAAACUAAUUAUACAAUUUACUUAUAAUUUGCUAGACGAAUCUUUUGAACCUAAUUAGUUCAUAAUUGAAAAAUAAUUAUCAAAUACAAACGAAAAUACUCCAGUAGCCAAAACCAAAAAAUUUCACGAACUAAACAAGGCCUUAUUAUCUUUUGUAGCACGUCUCAUGUUGUUCUAUCGGCAAAACCACGGGUUCGGUUUCCAAAUAUAUAUACACACAACCACCGCGAAAUGACCUUUAAUUCUCUGGACAACCACCUACACUUUGCAGUACGCAUUGUAGGCUCGAGGGAGUGUGCGGUAUCGGGCUGAAAUCAUAGCGAUCGACACUUCGCACGGCAUGAUUCGUCCUCGGCAGCUGGGCUUGCUGUCAGGCCGGGGGGAGCCAGCCAGGCGAGCAGCCAAUAGAGGUUGUCCUGUGCACACGCUCGCUGAGCUGUGAGCGGUGACGUGCGAAGGGUGUGCGUGCCACCGGGCCGGUCACCACCAGCCUUGCCCGGUCAUCACCGUCCGCGGGACCAGGCAUUGGUCGACGCUCGCUGACUAUGAUUAGUCCAAGAUUGGAAUGGGUCCGAACUAGGGCAGGCAGCGGGCUUUUACUGUUUCAUAUGCCAUUCCACUGCAUGCACUGCCUGCAUUUGGAUGAUGUCACGGUGGACUCAAUCUUUUAAUAUGGCUUCUUAUUCUCUUCACAUGCUAGUAUUGUUUUCAUCUUUGGAAGGAAGACGACGCUCGUUAGGAGACAACAAUUGAAUAGGCAUGUUUUUGGUUCGAGCCCAAACACACGGUAACAACUAAGCUUAGACAACUGCGGUUUACCUAUAGCAAAAGAAUCAGCCGCCUUAGUAGCAAUUGCGUGCCUAUGAAAUGCUAAAACAAUGCGCUAAGAAAGAAUGUUGAGCCACAACCGUGGCAAUGAACCAAAUUAGUUACCUAAAAUAUUUUGGUGCGAUUAAGGCCUUGUUUACUUCCAAAUUUUUUUGCAAAAUAGGAAUAGUAGCAUUUUCGUUUGUAUUUGACAAAUAUUGUCCAAUUAUAGACUAACUAGGCUCAAAAGAUUCGUCUCGUCAAUUUGACCAAACUGUGUAAUUAGUUUUUAUUUUCAUCUAUAUUUAAUACUCCAUACAUACGUUUAAAGAUUCGAUGUGACGGGGAAUCUAAAAAAUUUUGCAAAAUUUUUCGGGAAGUAAACAAAGCCUAAAUUGUGGUCUGCCAAUGAACUAACAACCAUAUCAUUGUCCUGUAAAGAAAAAUUUAGGGGACUAAAAGAGUUAAGGCUACUGGUAUCCAUCUACUUGUGUUGCGAUGUUGACAAAUAAUUAUAAGAGACAUAAGCGAUAUACAUUCACAGGUAAAUCUAGGGACUACGUACAACUAGUCAAAAUUGUUCAUCUUUUUUAUCUCUCUCAUUUACUCAUAUUCUAAGACAAUACUCACAUAGAUGAUUUCUUAUCUUUAUAUGGUUGUGAUAUAUAGAAUUUUGAUGCUCAUUACUCUAUAUAUACUUUUCCACCAAAAUUCAUAGUUCAAACUGCCUCAUGUGUUUAUUCUCUACAAUACUCAUAUUCAUGUUUUCUUAUCUUUACCCUAGUAUUUAUUUUCUUCGGUGGAGGCUAACUUUAAAUCUUAUAUGAAGAUUCUUGUAGAGUUGCUAGCGAAAGGAAUUCAUGCGUUCCGACCAAACCUAUGCACAUAAAGAAAAGGCCGCUCCUAGCCGCCACAAGGAGACACCGCUGAUGUCGUGCCUCCGUCUAGGACCCUUCUCAUUCUCUUCUAUUUUACCUCAACUUUUAGAUGUUUGCCAAGACCGUACACAUAUAAAAUUUUUAAUAUAUAAGUGCUAAUUUUACUUCUAAAUCCAAAGUAAAUUCAACAAUAUAAACUAAAAAACAAUACUAUACAAAUAGUUAAUUUAGAUUAAAAAAUGAAUAAGGAAAAAAAUACCUAGGGUUUGGACAUAAACUAAAAUAAAUGAUCAGCGAUCGUAUUCGCAAGAAGGUAAGAAUCAAGAUAUCGACAUCGUGGAGCCCUACAUGGUCGCCGCCGUCGUGCGCCGUUCUUCGGCGUCCAACUCUCCAUGGCGACACGGCUCACUGGUUCCACGUGUGUGCGUUGGCACGUAAAAAAUUCGCUAGUCACGAUUAGAAUGGCGUGGCUCCUCAUCUCCUCUGUCCAAGGACAGUGGAGAAAGGGAAACUAGAAAAAAAAGGCCGAUGUUGUCUUCUUAGGCCGGUUGAUCAAUUCUCUAUCUCUCUUUUCAUUAGUGUCUGAUGCCUAAUGGACUAUAGACUUAGAGAUUUGUAUACUUAGGUUUGGGCCCCUCUCUUGCUUAGGCAUUCGGGGGUCGCACCUCAUGCCCUAUCCCUAUCCCUAGAGCCGACACUAGACAAGGUCACCACUGCAGAAUUUCAUUGCCAUGCAUUAUAAUUUCCGCUCCACUCAGCAAAAUAAAAAAAUUAAAGCAAAACACUAGUAAGGCCUUGUUUGGUUUAAAAAAUUUUCAAUUCAUUGUCACAUCAGAUCUUUUAACACAUGCAUAAAAUAUUAAAUAUAAAUAAAAUAUAACUACUUACACAAUUUGUCUAUAAUCAAGUACCUGCACCAAACCAGCUGCGGACACUGAUAGGUCCCAUUUCCUCUUCACCAGAUCGUCGCGAACGGUCACUGAGAAAUGGCCCAGAGUGAGCGGCUCAUCAGCAUGCUGGGCCCCGCCUGGCCGGGUGCGAUCUGGGACAAGGCAAAUCGUCCGUACCCGACUACGCGUGUGGCAGUGUUUCACCAGUUUUUGCAAGGGUUUUCGUCGACAUCCAUGUAGCCCAACAGUGGUGUAGUUGGAGCGCGCGUACGUCGGGUGACCUGCGUGAUCACUGCGUUGUAUUGCCAGCCGCCAUUCAGUACUUUCAUUCACAAUCGUCAGUCUUCUCGCUAACAUAAUUUAAUUUAGUCAUUUUUUAUUGUAUAUAAAAAGGCGGGUAGGUUAGCUGACACAUCGCUCCAAGAAACUUGGAAUUAAUGUUGACAAUAAUUCUAAGAAUAAGGGGGAAAUGACGUACAUAUACGACUCUCUUCGCUCCAAAUUAUAAAUCAAUUUGAUUUUUUAUAUUUGUUUUACUAUACCUCUAGAUAUAACGUACUUCUAUGUCUAAUACAUAGCAAAUUCUAUGUAUUAAAAAUAUAGAGUGACCUUUUUUUCUCAAUCAAACAAGAGCAUUGCGUAAGUUUUUUAUUAAAAAAGGGUGAUCCCCGGCUGGCGCAAGGAGCAAAAAAACAAAUGUCUUAUAAUUGGCAACGGAGGGGUAGUAUUCUGGCAAAAAUCUUACUAGCUAUAGCACGCGGGAGUAGUGAUGUGAUAUGAUAUGAUAUGAUAUGAUAUGAUAUGAUAUGAUAUGAUAUGAUUGUUAUAGCAUACUCACUCCUUCCCAAUAAAAGUGUCAUUGUAGCCUUCAAAAUUUAUCCCAAAAUAAUAUGUCGUUUUACGUGUAGUCCCAGCUUACCCGAUGGGUACUGGCCACCCAUAUGUGCACCCGCCAUGUCAAAAUCUAUUCCAUUGGGUUACCCGCGAAAGCAGAUGGGUAAGGAAUUCAUUCCAUACCCGUACCUAACGGGUAAUUCUUAACCGACGGGUAUUCCAUACCCGAAAAUAUACUCGAGUUCAACAGAAAUAUAACAACUUUCAGGUAUUCCAUACCCGAAAAUAUACCCGAGUUCAACAGAAAUAUAACAACUUUCAGCAAGUUAACUAUCACAACUUCUAGAAAAGUAAACAUAACAACUUUUAGCAAAUUAAUAGCAGCACUAGUAGCACACCAGCCGCUCAACACUUCCCACGUUCAGCAGCGCCUGGUGCACGAGCGGCAGCAGCCCCUGAUGGAAAUUUCAUGGACUAUAUGGGCUAAAUUUCAUGGGCUAUAUGGGCUAAAUUACUUAGGCUGCUUACUCAUUUUACGGGUAUUUCUUACCCGGGUACGCGGGUAUGGGUACUACUAUUCCACACCAUACCCGGAUGGAUAAAGGAUUUCGUCCAAUAACGUACCCACGGGUACAAAUCCAUUCCAUACCCGCGUCCUUAUCGGGUAAAACCCGUCGGGUACUUGGGUUUCGGGUACCCGUUGCCAUCUCUAGUCCCAGCCCACUAUAGCCUGCAGGACUAUCCCUUCACCAGUUCACCUCCUCCCUUCCGCUUGCCUUUUUGCUAAAAAACAUAGCACCGGCGUGGCAGCGAAGAUGGAGCGGCCGACAUGGCCAGCGCAGAGGCGGAGCGGCAGCGUGCCUUGAUGCGGAGGCAGAGGCGGCAUUGAGGCGGAGUUCGUAGCUCGCACCCGCACCUCAGGUGGCUUCGCAUGACAUCAACCACCGCCAUGGUCUCACCAUAGACCUAGACGUCGUGCCAACCAUUGGCCACUGCGAGCUCCAUCCUACGCUAGAGCACUAAGGGCCCAACGUGGAAGCAGAGAUGGCCAAGGCACCCCCUCCUCUUCUGCUUCGCCAAGAUCUGGCAACCUCCCUCCUCUUCUUCUACACUGUUGGCGGCCCCUCUCCCCUCUAAGCACUCGUGAAGAGGACAACAGAUAAUUAAGGUGCCUUCCUCGUUCCUCCCAUGAGCUCUGCCUUGGCUCAACCUUCUUGAAGGUAGGGGCUGCCUUGGGCGUGGUCGCGUGAUCCUAUCUAGGAUCUACCAUGCCACCUGAGCGGCCGCUGGAGACGAGGACAGGGCAGAGAGGCUGGCAGUAGGGAAGGCCCAAGUUGGCGCCCUCCGCAGGUUCGUGACAUCAUCGCAUGUCCCCAUCGGCACCUUUAUUUCCUCCCCUUCAUCGGUGGCGGCACCCCUUAUUAUUCUCCUCCUCUAUCCUGCUCCUCUUCUCUGUGGGCAAGGACGCUAAGUGGGCAGCUUGCCGUGGAGCUAAGGCAGAGCACGUGGCCCGAUGUCAACGACAAGAGUGACCGGCGCAGAGUUGUGUUUGUUAGGCAAGGAGGAGGCACAUAGCUAAAUCUUGAUGAGAAGCAAGGAGCACAAGAGAAAGGAGAAUGUUGACGGUAACUAAUGCUCAUUUUUAUCCAUCAAUUAUUGCUUGAUAUGACAUGAUAUGAACCACAAAACAUAGUUGUAGGGUUUGAAACUAACAAGUUCCACGAGUUUUGGUGAAUCUAUGUUUUACAGAUUUUAAACUAGAAAAGGUCCAGAAUCACCAAAUAGAAGUAUCUCAAGUGAUGAAUCAGAGUACACCAUUGUAAAGAGCUCGUUGAGACACAUAAAAUAGAGUUUUGGUUUACCCAAAUCAGAGUCCAGACGAUAAAGUUACGCCUUUCGGAAGAUUGCAAAUGGGCUUCAAGAGCAGUCCAGAGUAAAUUGGGCAUAUCUCGCUCACCCGGACUCCGUUUUUAGUGAUCCAGAACUUUUUGGAAAGCUAACAAAGAGAACUAUCAGCUCAUCAAAAGAGGAGCCUACCUAGCAUUAAGCUAGGCCAGCUGGCCCCACAUGUAAGAUCGGCCGGCCUGCCCCCAAACCCUCUUGCGCCGUGCUUUUUCAGGACUCUUCCACCGCCUCCAAGGAUACAUCUCCACCCUACAUUAAGGUCGGUUUGAUCCAAAGGCUACGGUUUAUCCCACUGGACUAUAUAAGCAGAGGCGGAUCCCCCUCAGAGGCGUUUGAAGAAGAGAGGUGUCCCUGAAUGGAUGUCCUCUCUACUCCCAAUUUAGAGUAGAUCUAGACUUCUAGAUAGUAGAGAGAUGGAGAGCGAGGGAAGAAUUUGGAGGAGGUGCCGGCCUGUCGGUGCUUUUUCUAUGACUUGUACUUUGGCACGAUCAGGCUCUACUUGGGCUUGCUCCUGAGAUGGCUCUAGAUCUUGCCAUCAACUUCUCAUUCAAGUAAAAUUCAUGUUUAUAUAUUCUUCUAGUCUCGAAUCUCUUUUGAGUACUUUAAUCUUUUGCAAGAGGUUAGAGUAAACUUCGUAGUGUAGACAUGGUGCUUAGGCUCGGGGUUAUCCGUAGAUGCAACCUAUAUCUGGAUCGGUGGUGGAUCGCGAAGGUGACAGCUUUGUUGAGUCCUAUGUAGUCCACCUCCCGUCUAUAGGCCUAGUAGGAGACCUUUGUUACGUGGUAGAUUCAUACUAUGUUUGCAGUCUUCCAUAGUAAUUCUCCAGUUGAAUAGUAGAAGACAUGGACUGCUUGAGUUAGAAGGAACCCUGAUCGAGCUAUCAUCUCUAUACUCCUACUAUCGACCCCAUACUAAAUUGAUCCUCCCCUACUUUUUAAUCUUGUUUUCACUUUAGAUCUUGUCCCUAGCAUAGUUUAUAUUUCGAACUCAUUUAUCUUUUAUAGUUAAGUUAGUACAUAGUUGACUCACCUGUUUCCCUGUGGAUAUGAUAUUUAAAACCCUCCGGGUGAAAACUACAAUGGUAUCCGUGCCCUUGCGGAUAUUUUCUAUUCGCGUUAAUAAAUACCAACAGAGAAUAUUAUGAUAGAGACAUUAUUGAUAUUUUCCCUACGGCCUUCGUAUAUAGGCACGCUGAGUCCUACAACAACUCUUUUGUGGGGAUGGAGGGACUUCUAUGCAAAGUAAUUAGGAGUAUUAACAUGCGAUUCUAGAACAUUUAAUCAGGGCCAAAGCGAAGAGGUCAUGUUUAGAUUGCUGAUAAAAAAUUUUUUGGGUGUCACAUCGGAUGUGUCGGAAGGAUGUCGGGAUGGGUUUUUAGAAACGAAUAAAAAAACAAAUUACAUAGGUCGUCAGCUGCAAGACAAAUCUAUUAAUCAUAAUUAAUCUGUCAUUAGCACAUGUGGGUUACUGUAGCACUUAAGGCUAAUCAUGAAGUAACUAGGCUUAAAAAUUCGUCUCGCGAUUUUCAACCAAACUGUGUAAUUAGUUUAUUUUUUUAUGUAUAUUUAAUGUUCUAUGCAUAUGUCCAAAGAUUUGAUGGGAUCGAUGAAAAAAUUUUGAGGGGCAAACUAAACAGGGCCUAAAGAGAGACGGGCAGGAGAGUGAUGGGAUACUGACAACUGCGAGCUCUAUGCUGGCGCAACAGUAUGGAAAAUUUAAGGCAUCAUUCAAUACUAUCCUACACAUAUUCUCGAGCAAAAGCAAUGCCGGUCGGCGCCCCAAACCCUGCUCGUAUGUAUGGCGUGUGACGCUGAUGCCACCGUACCUUGACUUGACCUACUAGCUGAUCGACGCUGCUUGAGGCCUUGUUCAGUUCGCAAAAACUUGUGAAAACGGCACUGUAGCACUUUCGUUUUUAUUUGACAAACAUUGUUCAAUUAUAGAGUAACUAGGCUCAAAAGAUUCAUCUCGCGGUUUACAGAUGAACUGUGUAAAUAGUUUUUGUUUUCAUGUAUAUUUAAUGCUCCAUGCAUGUGCCGCAAGAUUCGAUGUGACGGGGAAUCUUGAAAAUUUUUACGAACUAAACAAGACCCGACUUGGCCUACGACAAGAGGCUACAUGAAUCGAGUUGCCUGUGUGAGUUUGUGCUACAGUACUAGCUAGCUAGUUCUACGGCGAAGCGACACAGGUGAUGAGAGUGUGGGAGGCCGGAGGCGGCGGUGGCGGUAGGGUGGCGUGGUUCUUUGUAAAAGCGGCACGAUCUGGAGGUGACCGCGGACUUAUUUUUGUUCCCGCGGCCGGGUCGGAGGCGGACGAGCGAGGCGACCUAGUGUUGGCGCACCAUCAAGCGCGUCGGCGGGGAAACAUUGCGGCAGCAGCGCAGCUACCAUGCAUCAAUGGUGCAGUAAAGGGAGGUGGGGAGAGGGGGCGGGGCGCGCGCGCUUCAAACUCGCCGAGGCCUGCUCCGAUCCUGCGCCCCCCGGCUCCGGAUGGAGCCUGCGCGUGGCCGGCCUCCGCCUCGAUCGGCCUCGCAUCAUAGCGCGGCGUGCGGCGCUGGAUUCAUGUACGUAGGAGACAUGCACGAGAGCGAAAAAGGCGUGCGGCGCUGGACUCAUGUACGUAGGAGACAUGCAUGAACGCGGGGCGCUAACAGGUCACUCUGGUGUGUUGUGUUGCGUUGACAAAAUUUGUAGGGUUGGGUGGUGGACCAUGCCCGUGUCCGCUGCUGUGUUGGAGGCCUUUGUUAGCUUGUUCUUUCCUUAUUUCCACUAAAACAGUAGAAUUUGGAAUGUUUGAAGUUAGAACUUAGGGGUGUUUGGUUGGGGUAUUAAAAUUUAAUAGGUAUUGUAUUAUUAUUUUUUUGUUUUUUUAUAGUUGGUGUCCAAUAAUAGAUUAAUUAGGCUCAAAAGAUCAGUCUCACAAAUUAUUAUCUAAUUGUAUUUUUAGUUUUGUAAAUAAUCUAUAUUUAAUACUUUAUGCAUAUGUUAAACAUUUAAUACUUUGGGUGGUAAAAAAAAUCUCUCUAACCAAAUAGGACUUAAAGUGGUGAGCCCACAUCUUGCUUUUUACUCUACGACAAUUAUAGUGGAGCAUCUAUUGACUUGAAACGUGUCGCCGUUAUGCGAGUAACAGGGAUGGGUGUGGAUGCUCAGAUAUCCGAAAGAUCUAAUAUGUAUAUUCAUUUUAGUGUAAAUAUGGAUAUCUAUAUUCGUAUUCGAUGUAAAUAUAGAUGUUAAAUGGAUGUAUCUAUGUUUUAAUGUCAUUCUCUAUCUAAAUCCAUAUCCGCAUCCAACAAAAAUGUAAAAUAUCCGAUAAUAUCUGUAUCUGCAAAGUACAAAUUAUUUUGAAACCAUCUAAUUCUUAAAAAUAUGACUAAUAAACUAUAUAAAUCAAAAUAAAUUUAAUAUAACAGAUGAUAUGUAUUAUUAUUUAAAAGUUAUCUAAGGCUAAUGUAAUUUAAAUAUUAUUAACAAUACAUAAAUCUUAAGUUUGAUUAAUUUUAAUAUGGCUAAUCAUACUGUUGGUACCAUAAUAAGGGAUACCCAAAUCAGAGCAAUAAAAAACGCAAAGAAACAUUCUAACCACAAUCAUCAGGGCCUCGGACGCAAGUUCCGACUCGCCCGACCCCUCACGGCAUCGGACGCAAGUUCCGACUCGCCCGACCCCUCAGGGCAUCGGACGCAAGUUCCGACUCGCCCGACCCCUCAGGGCAUCGGACGCAAGUUCCGACUCGCCCGACCCCGUCCAGACUCGAGCACCGGACCCCACUCCGCUUGGGCAGCAAGACUUCCACCGCACGACGCCCGUACCCACGACGUGACAGACGCGACGGCUUCCAUAUCGCGGCAGGGCAAGGCGAUAACUAUUCCAACCACCCAUGUCACUGUGCCCUUACCUCUUUCACUGUGACGUACUGCCUCACAGUAGGAAGGGAAUGGGGGAGGUUAAUCAGCACCACUAUUGGAGGUCACUUCCCACUGCUGACAGCAUGUGCAGCGGUGCCGGCGACCCGACCCCCGCGACUCCAACAGGGCUCGGUAACACUCUACAGGAACAGCCAUACUGCCGACCAUCUCCCAAGGACGAGAUGGACCAGCUCCAACAGGGUCGGAACUGUGGUUUCACCGUUCCAUCCAGGGGAAUUAACUCAUGUAAAUCUUUGUCUCCCCUUUAGACUAUAAAAGGGGAGCCAGGGUUCACAACUAGAAAAAGGUCCAGAAGGCCAAGUUCAUACACACAACACUCUUUCUCAGAGCAGCAACCCGCACUCUGUCCACCACCAAGCCGAGACCUGGGACUUAGCCCUCUCUCGCAACCCGCUUGUACCCUCUACUACAAGCACCUUUGGGUGCAAGGUUAUACAGAAAUUCUGAUCUCACUGGACGUAGGGCAUUCUUGGCCCGAACCAGUAUAAACCCUCUGUGUCUCACUUGCAUCACCAUCCAAGCUUGGUCAGUCACGCAGACUUAUACUUGUUAGUACCUAGACCGCGAGUCUAGACGCCGACAGUUGGCGCGCCAGGUAGGGGCCUUCUACGUGACAUUCACCUGUCCCUACUAGGAAGGUUUGGAUGGCAGACGGGUUUCACCCACUCCGCCGCGGCACCAUCAUGAUGUUUGGGAGUUUGGAGUUCAUGUCCCUCGGUUCCGGCUACGACAUGGUCCUCCUCCCGCCACGUGACGACGUCGAGCCUAGCCCCGAGCCGAUCCCACCACAGUCAGUGCGUGGGAGACGUUCGGGACACCGUGCGGGGGGCUCACAGAGGGGGCGUCAGAGAUCUAGGAUCUUCGACCCUACCUCUGAGGCCAGGACCCGUCCGGUCCUCCCCCCGCAUAUUCCUCACCAGGUCGCCUGCUCCUCCGGCCCGACAGGUGCUAGAGGAAGGGCUUGUGGGGCAUCAAGCUCCGCUCCCAGAACCAACAGAGGAUCAUCGCGACCACCCGUCCCACCCCGUUCGAAGGGGAAAGCACGGCCCGCGCCCGUCCCCCGCAAGGGGGACAAAGGGGCCUCAACGUCCCGUCCUCCUCCGCCUACGGACGAAGGAGCAGCAGCGGCACCUCCUGAGUUACCUUUUGGGCUCAGGAAUGCCGCCGCCACUUACGCCUCUUCCAUGAGCACUUCGUUAAGUGCGUACGCGGAACUUCCGGGGCACCACUUGAGGUCUACACUGGACCUCAUCUCUACGCCGCCCGUUUCGUCAUACCCUGAGGAUCCUACCUCAGGCGACGACGAGUGGGCGGGCGCUGACUUUUCCGGGUGUGGUGACCCGGAGACCUUCAUGCGCUUCCUGGAAGCCAGCAACUACUGUCUCGGCUACUCCGACUCCGACAACGGAAGCUACGACCCAUCACGAGAGUGCUUCAACUUGGAAGUCGGAGGCACGCCGCAUAACGGCCAGGGGGACGUAGGGCCCUCUAGGCAGGAGAAUGCAACACCACCUCCCAACCCUACCCCCGGAACCGAUCUCGGCGCCCGAGGGGUAGCGUCGGCCCCUGUUGGUGGACAUCGCCCUGACCUCGUGCAGCUCGACGAGCUGGAAGCCAGGCUCGAAGAAGAACGCGCACGCCUCCGCCAACUCCGCGAGGCCCUGGUCCGAGAGCCGUCAGGCCGUGGAGACGGGGGUGAAGCCAGACGUCGCGCCCGUGACGUCAACCACCGUAUCGUCGAGGACCAAGGGGGUGACGCCCCAGUCUUCAGCAUGGCCAGCCAAAACGUGAUGGCCGCUGCGCUCCUCCUCAGGGCGAUGCCCGAGCCAUCGACCCCUGAGGGAAGGAGAGUGCGCCAGGGGUUGCGUGGCCUCCUGGAGCAGGCUGUGGUGCAGAACGCGGAAAGUUCCGCCUCGCAAUCCCAUAGCACGAGACGUCGUGGGGACCGACCCCCUCCGCACAAGGCACCAACGGUACAGGGUCCGCCGCCCCCUGACCCCCAAAGGGGCGACAAGGCCCCGUCGGUACAUGAGCGCGUCGGAGCAGGCGCGGACGCACGGGCCACCCUCGAGGCCAGGCGACGCGACAGGGACGAAGCCGAGUCCCGACGUUACCGACCCCGCCGAGGAGGGAGGUACGACCCCGAUCACGAUCGCAGCACGUCACCAGAGCCUCCGGGUCCCCGCGUCUUCAGCGAGGCCAUACGCAGGGCCAAGUUCCCGGCGCGAUUCCGACAGCCCGCCAACCUCACCAAGUACUCAGGGGAAACGAACCCUGAGCUCUGGCUGGCGGAUUACCGCCUAGCAUGCCAGCUGGGCGGCGCAGAUGACGACCUGCUCAUCAUCCGCAACCUCCCACUCCACCUGGCCGAUACGGCCAGGGCAUGGCUCGAGCACCUCCCUGAGCGCAUGAUCCAUGACUGGGCUGACCUGGUCAGAAUCUUUGUCGGGAACUUCCAGGGCACGUACGUGCGCCCUGGGAACUCCUGGGACCUCAGGAGCUGCCGGCAGAAGCCUGAUGAGUCCCUCCGAGACUUCAUCAGGCGAUUCUCCAAACAGUGCACCGAGCUCCCCAACAUCACGGACUCCGACAUGAUCGGAGCCUUCAUUUCCGGUACCACCUGCAAGGAGUUGGUACACGAGCUCGGACGCAAGACCCCCGCGAGCACUAGCCAGCUGCUCGACAUCGCCACCAACUUUGCCUCAGGCGAAGAGGCAGUCGGCGCCAUUUUCUCCGACGGCGCAGCCAAGGGGAAGCAGAAGGCCGAGGCCACCGAAGCCUCAGGGUCACGCGACCCCAAAAAGAAGAAGAAGGGUCGCAAGGGGAAGCAGGGUCAGUCGAACGACAACCUAGUCGCCGCGGCUGACCGCAAGAACCCCAAGCGGGCUCCUGCUGGCCCCGGUCUCUUCGACGAAAUGUUGAAGAAGCCGUGCCCCUAUCACAGGGGGCCAACUAAGCACACCCUCGAAGAAUGCACCGUCCUCCGCCGGUACUAUACCGACAUCAUCGCCAAGGAGAGUGCUGAAGAGCCUCCCAAGGACGACGACCUCCAGGGGGAGGAUUUCCCCAAGGUCAAGAACUGCCUUCUCAUCUUUGGGGGACGAGCGACUCGCCUCACCGCGAGUCAGAGGAAGCGCGAACUUUGAGAAGUCUGCGCAGUCAGCACGGCCGCGCCCUCGUACCUCAAAUGGUCCGAGAGCGCGAUCACAUUCGACAGACAGGAUCACCCAGAUCGGAUCCCCAAUCCCGGGAGCUAUCCUCUGAUCGUCGACCCCAUCAUCGCCGAGACCUGUCUCACUAAGGUGCUGAUGGAUGGAGGCAGCGGCCUCAACAUCCUCUAUGCCGAGACUCUGGCCCUCAUGGGGAUCAGCAAGUCCCGGCUGAGGAACGACACCUCACCAUUCCACGGAGUGGUGCCGGGGCAUCGCGCCCACCCCGUCGGACAGAUCGAUCUGUCCGUCUGCUUCGGGACCCCCGACAACUUCAGACGAGAGGUCCUCACUUUUGACGUGGUCGGGUUCCCCGGGACCUACCACGCGAUCCUGGGACGACCAUGCUACGCCAAGUUCAUGGCCGUCCCCAACUACACCUACCUCAAGCUCAAGAUGCCAGGGCCAAAGGGCAUCAUCACCGUCAGCACGACCAGUCAGCACGCCUACCAGUGCGACGUCGAGUGUAUUGAGCAGGCUGAGGCUCUGGCUGAGUCCUUGGCCAUUCUCACUGGCCUCGGCGACUGCGACCAGGACGUCCCCGACCCCAAGCGUCAUGCCGGGAGCUUCGAGCCGGCAGAGGAGACCAAGCUGGUUUUUCUCGACCCCGGGACCUCUGAAGGCAAGGCGUUGAGGAUUAGCUCCAGCCUCGACCCCAAAUAGGAAGUGGUGCGCGUCGACUUUCUCCGCGCAAACGCCGAUAUAUUUGCGUGGAGUCCCUCGGACAUGCCUGGAAUACCGAGGGAAGUCGCCGAGCACUCCUUGGACAUCCGAGCCGGCUCCAAACCCGUGAAGCAACGCCUGCGCCGAUUCGAUGAGGAGAAGCGUCGGGCCAUCGGGGAGGAGAUCCACAAGCUGCUGGCGGCCGGAUUCAUCAAGGAGGUAUUCCAUCCCGAGUGGUUAGCCAACCCCGUGCUAGUUAAAAAGAAAAAUGGGAAGUGGAGGAUGUGUGUAGAUUAUACUAGUUUAAAUAAAACAUGUCCGAAGAAUCCCUUUCCAUUACCUCGGAUCGAUCAGAUAGUUGACUCCACCGCGGGAUGUGAAAUUUUGUCUUUUCUUGAUGCUUACUCCGGCUACCAUCAAAUCAAGAUGAAGAAGUCCGACCAGCUCGUGACUUCAUUCGUCACCCCUUUCGGAAUGUAUUGCUACGUAACCAUGCCUUUUGGCCUCAAGAACGCAGGGGCUACAUAUCAAUGAUGUAUGCUCCAGGUUUUUGGGAACCUCAUAGGCAAAACGGUAGAGGCUUACGUAGACGACAUCGUCGUCAAGUCUAGGAAAGCGUGCGGCCUGGUUGCCGACCUGGAAGAAGCAUUCCGAUGCCUUAGGGCAAAAGGGAUCAGACUCAACCCCAAAAAGUGUGUUUUCGGGGUCCCCCGAGGCAUGCUCCUUGGGUUUAUUGUGUCUAAGCGGGGGAUCGAGGCCAAUCCAGAAAAGGUCUCGGCCAUCGCGAAUAUGGGCCCUAUUCGUAACCUAAAGGGAGUACAGAGGGUAAUGUGAUGUCUAGCCUCCCUAAGCCGUUUCAUUUCUCGCCUCGGGGAAAAAGGGCUGCCUCUGUAUAGGUUACUUAGGAAAUCUGAGCACUUUUCCUGGACCCCCGAGGCCCAGGAAGCCCUUGACAAGCUCAAGGCUUUGCUCACCAACCCUCCCAUCCUGGUGGCCCCCGCCGAGGGGGAACCGCUAUUUCUUUAUGUCGCAGCCACUGAUCAGGUGGCCAGCGCGGCUAUCGUGGUCGAGAGGAAGGAAGAAGGGCACGCCCUGCCGGUCCAGAGGGCGGUAUACUUCAUCAGUGAGGUACUCUCCGACACAAAGACCCGAUACCCUCAGAUCCAAAAAUUACUCUACGCUGUAGUGUUGGCCCGGCGCAAGCUCCGACAUUACUUUGAGUCUCACCCGGUCUCAGUCAUCUCAUCCUUCCCUUUGGGAGAAGUGAUUCAGAACCGAGAGGCCAACGGGAGGAUUGCCAAAUGGGCCAUAGAGCUCAUGGGCGAUGGGAUCACCUAUGAGCCUCGCAAAGCCAUAAAGUCCCAGGUCCUGGCCGACUUUGUGGCAGAGUGGACUGGGACUCAGCUCCCACCCCCACAAAUCCAGCACGAAUGCUGGACCAUGUACUUCGACGGGUCCCUGAUGAAAACUGGGGCCGGCGCAGGCCUUGUCUUCAUCUCACCCCUCGGGGUAAGGAUGCGAUACGCAAUCCGGCUUCACUUUCCUGCUUCAAACAAUGCAGCAGAGUACGAGGUCCUUGUUAACGGUCUCCACAUCGCGAUCGAGCUUGGGAUCAAACGGCUCGACAUCCAAGGCGACUCUAGGCUCAUCAUCGAUCAAGUCAUGAAAGAGUCUAGCCACCAUGACCCCAAGAUGGACGCAUACUGCAAAACGGUUCGACGCCUGGAAGAAAAAUUCGACGGCCUCGAGCUUAACCACGUGCUAAGGAAGUAUAAUGAGGCCACCGACGCGCUCGCCAAGAUGGCAUCCGAGCGGGCCACGGUCCCCCCGGAUGUUUUCGUCAGUGACCUCUACAAACCUUCCGUCGACUACAAGGACGACGUGGGGUCGGACGAACCCCUAAGCAAACAGAGUGCCGACCCCAAAGACGCUGUCGCUCUAGAACAGGAGGCCAUGGACUUCGAGCCAGAGCCACCUGCAUCUGACGACACGCCUGACUGGCGCUACCCUUUGCUUCAACGCCUGGUCGAUGGCACUUGGCCCCUGGACCAGGCUGAGGCAAGGCGCGUGGCCCGUCGCGCCAAGACCUUCGUCCUCCUUGACGUGGAAAUGUACAAGCGCAGCCCCUCGGGCAUCCUCAUGCGUUGCAUCCCACGUCAGGAAGGAGUCAAGCUCCUGCAGGACAUACACUCGGGGGCUUGUGGCCAUCACGCCGCACCUCGGACGUUGGUAGGAAAUGCCUUCCGACAGGGUUUCUACUGGCUAACCGCUGUGGCCGACGCCACAGAGAUCAUAAGGACCUAUGAGGGAUGCCAGUUUUACGCUCGGCGGAUACAUCAGCCCGCCAAGGCCUUGCAGACGAUCCCCAUCACCUGGCUUUUCGCUGUCUGGGGCCUCGACCUGGUCGGGCCUCUGCAGAAAGCGCCCGGAGGCUUCACCCACGUGCUUGUCGCAAUCGACAAAUUCUCCAAGUGAAUCGAGGUCCGACCCAUCACAAGGAUCAAGGCCAAACAGGCGGUAUUAUUCUUCACGGAUAUCAUCCAUCGAUUUGGAGUGCCGAACUCCAUAAUCACCGACAACGGCACACAGUUCACCGAGCGAAAGUUCCUGCAGUUCUAUGACAGACACCACAUACGUGUGGACUGGGCGGCAGUGGCUCACCCCAAGACCAAUGGUCAAGUGGAGCGCGCCAAUGGCAUGAUCCUCCAGGGCCUGAAGCCCAGGAUCUUCAACCGCCUGAACAAGUUUGGAAAAAGGUGGCCGUCGUCUGGAGUCUGAGAACCUCCCGAAGCCGAGCCACGGGCUUCACCCCGUUCUUCAUGGUCUAUGGGUCGGAAGCCAUCCUCCCCACUGACCUGGAGUACGGGUCUCCAAGGGUACAAGCCUACGACGCAAAUAGCGGCAAGACGUUCCAAGAAGACGCGUUGGACCAGCUCGAAGAAGCUAGGGACGUAGCCCUCCUGCACUCCGCCAAGUACCAGCAGGCCCUCCGCUGAUACCAUGCGCGGCGGAUCCGAGGCCGAGCCUUUCAAGUCGGCGACUUGGUGCUAAGGCUCAGACAGAACAAUAAGGGUCGUCACAAGUUCACACCCCCCUGGGAAGGACCCUUCGUCAUCGCCGAAGUCCUCCGACCCGGGACCUACAAGCUCGCCAACGAAGCAGGGGAGGUCUUCAAAAACGCAUGGAACAUAGAACAGCUACGUCGCUUUUUCCCUUAGAAACUUUGUAAAAAUUUCUUUGUUCAUCCAUUACCUUCAAGGAAUAAGUCAAAGUUUAAGUUAUCAGAGAGCCUCGGACCUGCCAAGCAGGGUCCGAACCUCCCUCGGGGGCUACAUGGGGGGAACCCCCUAUGUCGACUCCGAAUCUUUUUCUUUUUUCGCGCAAGUUAAAAGAACCCCGACCCAAGGUCUUCCUCCUCCCUCCUAAAAAGACUUAAGAAACCGAAAAUCCGUCCCCUAAAUCUUAAGGCAUGAGCCCGAGGUAGGAUCUGCGCUCACAAGCAAAGACCGCCUCUACUCACCUUAGAUUCGGGAACAAAUUCGGGCUUCCAAGAGUUACUAAGGAAAAAGGAAAAGCACUUAGGCUCGGGGACUCUGGCCAGCGCAAAAACUCUAAGUAGCUCACCCGACCCCGCGCUGCCGAGGUCGGAUCGGCAUAAAGAGAAAGGAAAUAAGAUACUUAGGGAAAAAAGCUCAAAAAGAGCAGUUAUAUUUACAUUCGACAUUAACAUUAUAUAUAUAUAUAUAUUACAAGGCCCACCGGCCUCAACACCCACAAAAAGAGAGGAAACCUAAGGGUCCUGCUGCCCUGUCUACUCAGGUCCUUGAGCCCCAAGGGGCGGAAGCUCCACCUCGUCGUCGAAGAAGGUGGCCAAGGCAUCUCCGGGGGCAGCCACGGCGUCCUCAAGCCUCUGCACCUCCUCCUGGGCCUCAGUCUCAUCAUUCGGAAGAACGUAACCCUCACAGACUGCCGGCAAAUCAAUGCCGGCAUAGUGAGAGCUCACCACCGCCAGGGCUUUCUUCACCCCGGCGUGGAGUGCCUCCCUCAUCCUCUCCCUGGCCCGGGAGUAAAGGGCUUCGACCCGACUCCGCAGCGACGACCCCGACACCGAUACCCCGAGCCCCUCACACGCCGAGGUGACCACGGCUUCAAGAGCCGAGUGGUCUGAAGCCUCGGCGUCAAGGGACCUUUGCAGGGCCUCGGCAGCAGAGGACGCCUCGACCACCUUCCUCUCCAAUUCUGAUCAAAAAACGGAACAAGAAACAAGAAGUCAGGAAAAGCUAACUCAAAAGUACAAAGGAGUCCAAGGUAAAGGGCGCAAGUCUUACCCUCGGCACGCUUCUCGUGCUCCGCCGAGCUCUGAUACCAGUGGGCCACCUGGCUCAGAGCCCCGGCUAGGUCGGUCUGAGUUUGGCUCAAGGCAAGGUCUUUUUAGGCGAGCAAAGCUUCAAGCCGAGCGACCUCACCCUUGUACCCCUCAGCCGCCGCCUUCUGCACCUCGGUUUCCUGGGCGAGGGCCCCAAUCCUCUCCUCCAGGGGGCGACCUUGUCCCGGGCCUCCCGAGCCUCGGUGGCCAGUGCCGAGCACUUCUGCCGAAGCUCGGCAGAAAUCUCGCACUCCUUCGCGAGCUCCCCCUCGGCCGCCUCCCUGGCAGCCCUCUCGUUCUCAAAGGACGCCCAAGCAUCCUUCUCCCAACGGAGAAAUACCGACUUCUCCUGGGAGGUGGCCUUGAGCGCCUGCAAGAUCAGAGGUCACACAGGGAGUUAAUACCGCAAAAGCAAGGACAAAACUACUUUACAACAUGGAUAAAAAUCUUACCUGAGCCAAAUUAAACAUGUCACGGCCCACAAGCUGGGUAGCUCGGUUGAGGGCCUCGACACUGGCGCGCCCACACGCAUCCAGACCCUGCCAGAGGUAAUUCUCUGACAGGUCAUCCAGGACAAAUCUGGCUCCCCCCUCGGCAUCGCCGAGGUUGGGCCAGAUUACGGGACUCUUGCCCCAUCCAGCUUCCUCCUCCCUUCCCGCCGCGGGGGCCUCGGGCGCCGCGCUGGACACCACGAUAGCUCGGCCUUCCUCAGCGCGCGCAGGCCGGGCUGCACCUCUGAGGUCAGCGUCCUCCGGUCCUUGGGGCUUCGGCGCCCCCGUGUCUUGCCCCUGGUGGCGCCCUGCCUCCUCGUAGCCUGGAGGCGGCGGAGACACGGGCCUAGCCGACCCGGGAGUUGACUGAGCCCCCCUCUUCACAGCUUUCAGGGGGGCAGCGCCACCAAAGGCGCCUUUUGCUUACGGCUAGGGGAACAACAUCAAGUUAGAAGAAAGAGAAAAACAAAAAAUCAGCAGAGGAAUCAGAAAUCCUAUACGCACCUCGCUCGGGGAGCAGACUUCUUCUGGGAGCUCGGAGCUCCUAAGGGGCCUCCCGCAGCGCCAGGGGCCGCCGGUCCGACCCCCGCCUCGCCUGCCGACAGCGCAGGAGACACCACGGCGGUCUCAGCCUGCGACGCCUCCACCAAGGCACCAGUUCCCGCCCCGGACGCUAGGGCGGGCUCGGCCAGAGCCUCUGGCACUACCGGUUGAGGUAGCGCCUCGGAUCCGACCUCCAACGCCUUCUCCCCUUCUUGAGGACCCACCGGGCCUGAACCCUCAUGAGCGGCGCUGUCCUCAUCAUCCACAAUGAUGUGGGGGGCAGCCUGUCCGCCCCCCGGCGCUUGGACCCCCUGGGGGGCCUCCGACCCCCCUCGGGCCUUCGACCCCUUCGGGGCCUCGAUUCCCCCGCCGGCUGGAGGGAUAACAUCAUCCUCCUCCGCCAGCUCGUCGAGCCAGUCGGUGCUGUCUCCUCCGCCCUCUAUCUCCGAGACCGAAGUCUCGGGAGACGGAGGCGGGGCGACCCCCGCCUUCUCGGCUUCACGAUGAUUUUUGGCGGAGAUCUCCCGCCGCUGCGCUUUCCGCGCUGCCUUGGCCUUCUUGUCCUCCUUGGCCUUCUUCUGCUCCUCGUUCCGGGCCCGAUUCUUGGCCCGGAUCUCCUUGUCCUCUGGGACAGGGGGCAGGGAAUCCUUGACGACCCCCAUCCUCUGCGAACGAUCAGGAGUCAAGGAAAAGGCAAGAAGGAAACGAAAAGAAGGCGCAAAAAAUCCAUACAUACCAGGGAAAUGUAGCCCUUUUCAGGGUGCAUCGGCACCACCCGGGAAUUCUUCAUCUCUGGGUGCGUCGUCUUCUCGACCCGGGCGGUGAUGUCCGAGGCCGAUAUCGGCUCGGCCAACAUCCUCGUCCCUGCCCAGGGGACCCCCCGGGUCAUCUCGAACAUGGGCACUCGCCGCUGCGCCAGCGGAAGCAAACUCCUCUUGUGGAAGGCAGUUGCCACCGUGGCCGCGGUGACUUCGGCAUCUCGCAAUUUCUGAAGCCCCGCGAGAAGCGGGGCGAGCCUCUUCUGCUCCUCGGCCGGAGCACCCCACGCCCACUUCAUGGGAACCUCCGUCACCAUCUUCCCGGUGUACUUCGGGAGCAAGCCGCCGUCGUUCCGGAGGUAGAACCACCCGCUCUGCCACCCCCGGUUCGACGAAGGCAUCGAGCUCCAUAUGUACAGUCCGGCCCGCUGCUGACGAAGUUGCAGUGUGCAGCCACCGGCCCGCAGGGGGAAUUUCUCCUUCCCCACGUAACGGGCCGACAUCUCUGCCUUGAAGAGGUGAAGCCAGAGAUUCUAGUUGACCGGAACCCCCAGGAACCCCUCGCAAACCGUGGUGAAGACGGCAGCCUGCAUCACCGAGUUUGGGUUCAGGUUGUGUAACUCCACCUCGUAGUGGUGGAGGAUGGCCCUGAUCAGGCGGCCGGCCAGAACCCCGAACCCCCGGUCUAAGAACAACAGGAAGCACACCACAUAGCCCGGUGGCGGGUUUGGCUCCCUGUCGUUCGCCGAGGGAACGAUCCACUCCGGGAACCCGACAUCCUUGAGAGGACGGAGAAUCCCGGCCUUCACGCGCGCCUCCAGCGCGGACUUGGUCACAUUGCUGGGCGGCCACGCCUCGACGCCGGCCAUGGCCUCAGGAGGGAGAGGAGAGUCUGCGCGGUGGAGGUGGAGGGGAUGGCAGCGCAAGGAAGAGCAGGAGGCAAAGGCUUGGUGGUGCAGGAGCGAGAGGAAAGAAAUCAAGCCCCCAGUAGCCGCUUUUAUAGAAGGGGCGAGCCACGACCACGCCCCUGCGAGGAAGGCCAAGCGAGAGAGAGAGAGAGAGAGCAACCGUCGCCCACUCAGGUGAAAAACUCGAAGCGCCAACUCCCUCCGAUUCCCGCGCCCGCCGCACGCGCGCAUUAAUUUCGCAGACGAAACGUCCCAUCCAGCCGGGGCGAGACGGCACGGCCGUUUCGAGUCCCCGCGCGCUGCGCCUCAAAAGAAGCGCCUUGAAAAGUUAUGUCAGGGCGGUUCCUUCCAGGGGACGCGGCGCCCGACCCCCCCCCCCCCCCCCCCCCGCUGACCAAGCGUCGCAGGGAGGUCUCCGUCGAGCGCAAUUUUCCGUCUCGCCCGACCCCAUCAAGACCCCGAGCCGAAGUUGCAAGGUGGUCUCCGUCGAGCGCAGUUCUCCGUCUCGCCCGACCCCCAACACUAUAAAACGAGUCUGAAAAAAGCCUUUCGAGGCCCAAAAUCCCUAGGCCAUGGCCACCUACGUUCCAGAGGUUGCGAGACUGACCUGCGACACAGGUUCGAACAGUCGCCUCAGGAUAACUGAGCGAGGGAUGACUGAAGAUGAGCACAAUAGAGGCCAAGGUCCGAACCCUACAGGGAGUCGGCGCAUCUUUGCAAGUCAUAUCCGAGACCCAUGCGGGUGUCACGAGAGUGGGAUCCCAUCGAGGGAGGCAUCGAGCCCUCGAAACCUAACGAACGGUUCUGACAUCCACCGUGACUGCCCUCGGGUACUUUUUGAGAUGUGCCCAUAAGGCCACUAGUCGACCCCUAUCGAACGGGACUCGGACAUCCACUCGGAUCUACCCGCCUGCAGCUCCCGGGAAGCGUCGUCACUCGCCCACCGAGGGUAGUACGGCACAACCCACCCCUCCUCCGAGCGAAAGGAAGAAUGAGGGAUGAAAUUACAAGACGAUGAAGAACCUGAUCGACCCUUGCGGGGAAAGGACUCGGGGGCUCCCUCGCAACAUGGGAACGGGCACUACGUGUAAAGAACACGCAACCUAUCCCUGGAGACACUCCAGACUUUAGCUGUCAAAGGGUGAAAGCCUUUGAAGGAAUAACACCAUUCCUCCAAAAGGCUCGGGGGCUACACCCGGCGGGUGCGCUCGCGCACACCCCCCGGAGAAAGGUAAAAGCUCCUAGUCAACUACAGUCCCUGGGGAAAGAACCUCUAAAGAGGUGACUUCACCCCUUCAGAGGCUCGGGGGCUACUGUUGGGUACCAUAAUAAGGGAUACCCAAAUCAGAGCAAUAAAAAACACAAAGAAACAUUCUAACCACUAUCAUCAGGGCCUCGGACGCAAGUUCCGACUCGCCCGACCCCUCAGGGCAUCGGACGCAAGUUCUGACUCGCCCGACCCCUCAGGGCAUCGGACGCAAGUUCCGACUCGCCCGACCCCUCAGGGCCUCGGACGCAAGUUCCAACUCGCCCGACCCCGUCCAGGCUCGGGCGCCGGACCCCACUUCGCUUGGGCAGCAAGACUUCCACCGCACGACGCCCGUACCCACGACGUGACAGACGCGACGGCUUCCAUAUCGCGGCAGGGCAAGGCGAUAACUAUUCCAACCACCCUGGUCACUGUGCCCUUACCUCUUUCACUGUGACGUACUGCCUCACAGUAGGAAGGGAAUGGGGGAGGUUAAUCAGCACCACUAUUGGAGGUCACUUCCCAAUACUGACAGCAUGUGCAGCGGUGCCGGCGACCCGACCCCCGCGACUCCAACAGGGCUCGGUAACACUCUACAGGAACAGCCAUACUGCCGACCAUCCCCCAAGGACGAGAUGGACCAGCUCCAACAGGGUCGGAACUGUGGUUUCACCGUUCCAUCCAGGGGAAUUAACUCAUGUAAAUCUUUGUCUCCCCUUUAGACUAUAAAAGGGGAGCCAGGGUUCACAACUAGAAAAAGAUCCAGAAGGCCAAGUUCAUACACACAACACUCUUUCUCAGAGCAGCAAUCCGCACUCUGUCCACCACCAAGCCGAGACCUCGGACUUAGCCCUCUCUCGCAACCCGCUUGUACCCCCUACUACAAGCACCUUUGGGUGCAAGGUUAUACAGAAAUUCUGAUCUCACUGGACGUAGGGCAUUCUUGGCCUGAACCAGUAUAAACCCUCUGUGUCUCACUUGCAUCACCAUCCAAGCUUGGUCAGUCACGCAGACUUAUACUUGUUAGUACCUAGACCGCGAGUCUAGACGCCGACACAUACUAAUUGGCUAUUUAUUUUAUUUAUAUAAUUUUUUUAAAAAAAUAUUUAUUUGAGUUCGGUAAUUAAUAUAUAUAUAUAUAUUAAAAUAUUUUAGUUUUAGUCAUUGUCUUUAUUCACGGUGUUAUAUAGCUAUAUUUUAAAUCCCUUUAUCCAUAAUGAUUUUAUUAUACUAUGAAACUCUCAAUAAGUAGAUAGAUGUGAUCUUCAUAAUCAAGUAGAUAUUCAAAUCCGAAUUUGAGAUCUCCAUUUUGGAUUAGUAUCCAAUAAUAUCGUAUUCAUAUUUGAAUUAAAUGUGGCAAAUAGUAGUAUCUGAAUUUGUAUCUGUCCAGAUCGGAUCCAAAUUUAUCCUUAGCGAGUAUGUCCUCUUGCACCUGUAGUGAGAAUCGGUAUGGAUACUUACAGGCCAAGAUAGUUUUGACGGACUAGAUUGUCUAUCGGUUCGCCAAAUGCUAGCCCAGGAGGAACCACGUCUAGACAAAUGUAUGUUGGUGUGCCCUAGCUCUACCGCCUCCUCACGCCAUAGUGAGUCAGUGAUCCAAUUUUGCAAAUUGUCAAUCUCGCAAUUCGCAUUUGUCACUCUUGGACUCUUUGAGAUGAGUGAGAUUCAAAAUUGAGAGCAAGCCACCUUUGACCACUUGUGCAUAUUGUCAGUCUCGCAAUUCACAUUUAUUACUCCUAGACUCUUGCCUCAAAAAUUUUGUAAUGGUUCGAUUCCACCAGCACAAGGGAAGAGAUCAAUUAGUGGAAGGAAAAAAAGGAGUUGAAAAAUAUUUCGGUUAGAGUUGACCUUUGUGGGUCCUCUAGAGCUGACCUUUGCUUGGUCGCUCGUAGCCCUCUCAAUGAAGAGUAGGACUUGAUAGAGUCUGAACUUUGGUGAAACAAAUAUCGUGUCUCAAUUUGCAUUCAUUAUAUAUUUGCCAUCUAUUUGUGUUGCUUGAGCUUAUGAGCAAGUUGUUGGAAAUAAAAGCAAUUUAGCGAUGCAUAAAUUAAUUCCGACAACAAGAAAAAGGCUAACAACAUGUAUCACAGAUAUAUGAAUCGAAACUAGCACUACGAUUUGAAUCAAGUUCACGGGAUCUAUUGCUAGCAACAGAAAUGAUAUGAAACCGAACAACAGAGAGAGGAUAAACAUCCUUACAGUGGGGGUGUCGGCGCGAAGGAAGAAGAAGAAGAAGACCGUCGAUGGAGAUCGGCGAACACCGAGCGUAGUGGGAAGAAGACGUCUAGCGAGCAGUCGCGACGGCGCUUCCCAAAAACCUGAUACACCCCCUACCUCGUGGAGGGACGCGAGGAGACGUAGACUUCGGAGUCUGCUCUCCCGACACCGAUGGCACGUCGGCGAUGGGAUGGGGAAGACGGUGGCAGCCCAGUAGUGUGGCGAGGAAGAGAUGAAUCUCUCGGUACAAAGGAUGAUGUCUCGCCCCAUAUUUAUACACGCAUCGCACGUAGCAAAUAGGCAAGCAAUCAAUCACCGUAUUAUGGAAACUUUACCUGCCGUUUACGCACUUGCCAUAAUACAAGAAUAAUUGCUUACCAAAUAGGCCAGCGCAAUCUCCUCCAUGCAUGCAAAACUUCCAAGUAGCCGCAAGGGUCGAGGCGAGGCGAGCGAGCGCUCGCGCGUGUGGUUCUUCAUUUUUCUCUCUCCAAUUGCUUCAACAAGAUGGAGAUAGCUCAACUUUUUAAGUUGGCCUCACUCCACUUGAAGUAGCAAGGUGGGACUAAAGUCCCCCACCUUUCCAUAUAUACAUGCAUGUAUGAGCGGACCUUUGGGAUUUAUUUGGAAUUGUUUGGCCCAAGGCCCAAAACAUCUAACAAUCCCCCACCACAUCCAAGGGCACGCGAGUCAUACUCCCUGUACCACAGUACUGUUAAUAUACCAGCUUAUUCAGUGAAGACUGGUUAAGGUUGAACAUCCACCUAGAACAACAAGAUAGACCCAUCCGCAACUGCACAAUGGACUAGGCCUUGGCAGUUUGGUGCGAAUAGGCUUCACUCGAAGUCUUGAUUGGUACUAGGCUGCCAUAGCCAACCCCGCGAGUGGAGCGUAUAAGUCAUACUCCUAACUCACUUCAUGAGCCUAUUAAAGAAUACCCGAUUCUUAUAAAUUGUGACUAACAGUUGGGCUCACAUAGGUGUGUUCUUACAAGAAUCUCUGUAGGACAGUAUCUUGCUAUAAAGCCUCAAAACACAUUAAGACAAAGUCAAGCUGUCUUACAGAAAUGAGAGUACUGCAUCUCCAAUGGAGUGGGUCAAAUGAAACGAUUGUACUCUCCCAUUAACCAACAACUUAUUCUUCCCAGGUCCUAAUUCACGGGAUCUCCGAUCACAUAGGUUGGGUUACUGCUGAGGUUAACUCACAUGGGUCUCAAUUCCAUCUCCUUCGAUGCAUUGUCAAUCAUGGUGCUUGAUAGUCCCUUUGUAAAGGGAUCUGCCAGGUUUUUAGCUAUUUGGAUGUAGUCCACAGCUAUUACUCCGGAGCUUCUUAAUUUCCUGACAGACUUCAGUCUACGCUUUAUAUGUUUGCUGGACUUUUUCCCAUUAUCCUCACUAUUCUUCACCUUUGUGAUCACUGUUUGAUUAUCACAGUUUAUGAGAAUAGCAGGAAUUGGUUUCUCAACCAACGGCAAGUCCAUCAACAUAUCUCUUAGCCACUCAUCCUCAGUAGAGGCUGUAUCCAGAGUUGUAAGCUUUGCCUCCAUUAUGGACUUUGUAAGUAUUGUCUGCUUACAAGACCUCCAAGAGACAGCACCACCACCCAGAGUGAAUAUGUAUCCACUAGUGGCCUUAAGCUCAUCAGCUUCUGAAAUCCAGUUUGAAUCACUAUAUCCUUCAAGUAUCCCUGGGUACCCUGAAUAGUGAAUUACAUAACUCAUUGUACCUUUUAGGUAACGCAUUACCCGAUCAAUACCACGCCAAUGAUCACUUCCUAGAUUAAAGGAAAAUCUACUCAACUUGCUUACAGCAAAUGAGAUUUCAGGGUGGGUUGCGCUAGCUAGACACAUCAAUGAGCCAAUAAUUUGAGAGUAUCUUAGAUGGUCCUUUCCUAGCCUUUUAUUCUUUCGAAGUAUUAGACUAGGAUCAUAGGGUGUUGGAGAAGGUUUGCAAUCCAUAUAACUGAAACGGUUCAAAACUUUUUCCACAAAAUGAGGCUGCAAAUAAACAUCAGGCGCUCGGGAAUAAAGGAGUAUCUUGUGUUUGUAUUACCGUUAGAACUUAUAAAAUGUGUGUAUUACCGUUAUGGUGGGGGCAAAGGAGUAAUCUUGUGUUUGUAUGUUGACGACAUACUGAUUUUUGGGACGAGCAUCGAUGAGAUUAAUGAUGUUAAAACAUUCUUAUCCCAAAAUUUUGACAUGAAAGAUUUAGGAGAAGCCGAUGUGAUCCUCAAUAUUAAACUUAAUAAACAUCAGGCGCUCAUGAAUAAAUUCAUUAGACGAACUCAGUAAAGAAUAAGCAACAUUCAUUGGGAAAAUAUUCUCAAAGAAAAUAACAUCCCAUGACUCCAACAGUGUAUCAACUAAAACAUCAGGCGCUUCAGAUUUUAUCACUAAAAACUUAUAAGACGUGCUAUGGUGUGCAUAACCCAAAAAGAUACAAUCAACGGUCUUUAGUCCAAGCUUGCAUUUCUUAUUAAUUGGUACGCUGACUAUGGCCAAACAGCUCCAUGUACGCAAGUAAUGGAGUGAUGGUUUCCUUCCUUUCCAUCCUUCAUACGGAGUAACUUCACUAUUCUUAGUUGGAACUCUAUUUAGAACAUGACAUGCUGUUAAAACAGCCUCCCCCACUAUGCUUUAGCCAUACCGGAUGUUCCUAACAUGGCAUUCACCAAGUCUAUUAACGUCCAGUUCUUUCUUUCGGCAACCCCAUUAGAUUGGGACGAAUAUGGUGGUGUCCGUUCAUGAAUUAUUCCAUUCUCCGCACAGAAAAGAUCAAACUCAUUGGAAUAAUACUCCCCACCACGAUCAAACCUAACACGCUUGAUUUUCUUUUCUAAUUGGUUCUCUACCUCAGCCUUAUAAGUCUUCAAACAUUCAAAUGCCUCAUCUUUAGUUUUUAGAAGAAACACAUAGCAAUAUUUAGUUGCAUCAUCAAUUAAAGUCAUAAAGUAUCUUUUUCCUCCUUUUGUCAACACACCAUUCAUUUCACAAAUGUCAGAAUGUAUGAGCUCUAGUAAUGUCGUGCACCUCUCGUCUACAGCCUUGUGAGGCUUACGAGGUUGCUUCGCUUGCACACAUGCUUGACAUUUAGAGCCUUUGACAAUAGAAAAGUUCGGAAUUAAACUCAUACUAGAUAAACGCGUCAUACAACCAAAAUUAAUGUGCCACAAACGUGAAUGCCAUAUAUCAGCCACUGAAUUGUUUGAAUCACACACAUGGUUCACAACUUUAUUACAGAAAUCGGAGAGUGAAAAGCAGAACAAGCCUCCGCUCUCAUAGCCUUUGCCAAUGAAUUGGCCAUACCUCGAGACGACUACUUUAUUUGACUCAAACACCAGCUUGAACCCAUCUCGACACAAGAGGGAUCCACUAACGAGGUUCUUCUUUAUUGAGGGCGCAUGCUGCACGUUCUUGAGCCGCACGAUCUUUCCCGAAGUGAACUUCAGAUCGACCGAACCAACACCAAGAACAGAAGCAUGCGAGCCGUUCCCCAUCAUGACAGUUGAAGCUCGUGCGAUCUGGUAAGAUGAAAACAUAGAAAUAUUAGUACAAACAUGAAUAUUGGCUCCUGUAUCAAUCCACCAAUCAUUAGAUUGAAAUACAGAAAAUGCACUAGGUAAAUAAUUACCGUACCCAGAUCCACUAGGAUCGCCAAUAGUCACGUUGGUAGAUUUCUGCCCCUGCUGAUUCUUCCUGCCUUUGCGGUUCUUGCACUUCUUGGCGAAGUGUCCAUUCUCACCGCAAACGAAGCACACAACUUCAUCCAUGUUCAUCUUCUUCUUCUUGAACGGAGUAGUCUGAAUAGUCUUCUGCUUGUUCUAGCUAGCAUGUUGCAUCACAUUGGCACUAGACUGUUCUGAGGCUUUUGGUGGAGCAUCCUUUGCCCGAGCCUUCUCUUCAACAUCAAGACCAGCCAACAUGAGAUCUUCUGUCUUUUAUGUUUCAGAGCUAUGGCGAAGUUUCUCCAUGACGGAGGCAACUUGGCAAUUAUACCACCAGCCACAAACUUGUCUAGCAAGACGUGUCCGAGUUGUUCAAGUUCCCUCACAAUAAGUUGGAACUCAUGAGCCUGUUCCACGACUGAAUGGUUUUCAACCAUUUUGAAGUCGUGGUACUUCUCCAUCACAUACAACUUGUGCCCAGUGUCUGCAGCACCGAACUUAUGUUCAAGUGCCUCCCACAGUUCAGCAGCACUUUUGAUGUUCAUGUAAACAUCACACAACUGGUCAGAGAGAACGCUAAGAACACAUCCGACGAAAAUCGUCGUAGCCGCACUAAACUCCUGCACCUCUUUCUCAGAUCUGAGAGGUAGUACGGGAGGAUUACCCACGACCCAAAACACGCCCAUAGUCGUGAGCCACAACUGGGCCCUCGUCUGGCAUCUCUUGAAAUUCACACCACUGAACUUCUCAAGUUUCAUCGCAUCAGUAUAUCCCUUAGUCAUCGCUAAAUGCCUAUCAGGUUUUUGGAUUGUUGGAAAUAAAAGCAAUUUAGCGAUGCAUAAAUUAAUUCUGACAACAAGAAAAAGGCUAACAACAUGUAUCAGAGAUAUAUGAAUCGAAACUAGCACUACGAUUUGAAUCAAGUUCACGGGAUCUAGUGCUAGCAACAGAAAUGAUAUAAAACCGAACAACAGAGAGAGGAUAGACAUCCUUACAGUGGGGGUGUCGGUGCGAAGGAAGAAGAAGAAGACCGUCGAUGGAGAUCGGCGAACACCGGGCGUAGUGGGAAGAAGACGUCCAGCGAGCAGUCGCGACAGCGCUUCCUAAAAACCUGAUACGCCCCCUACCCCGUGCAGGGACGCGAGGAGAUGUAGGCUUCGGAGCCUGCUCUCCCGACACCGAUGGCACGUCGGCGAUGGGAUGGGGAAGACAGCGGCAGCGUAGUAGUGUGGCGAGGAAGAGAUGAAUCUCUUGAUACAAAGUACGACGUCUCGCCCCAUAUUUAUACACGCGUCGCACGUAGCAAAUAGGCAAGCAAUCAAUCACCGUAUUAUGGAAACUUUACCUGCCGUUUACGCAUUUGCCAUAAUACAAGAAUAAUUCCUUACCAAAUAGGCCAGCGCAAUCUCCUCCAUGCAUGCAAAACUUCCAAGUAGCAAAAGGAAGCCACGCCCCCGCAAGGAUUGAAGCGGGAAAUCGCCGGACCAUUCACGCGCAUGUCGUGCAUGCGCGCCCAUUGGCCUCGCUCGGCGAGGCGAGGCAAGCGAGCGAGCGCGCGUGUGGUUCUUCCUUUUCCUCUCUCCAAUUGCUUCAACAAGAUGGAGAUAGCUCAACUUUUUAAGUUGGCCUCACUCCACUUGAAGUAGCAAGGUGGGACUAAAGUCCCCCACCUUUCCAUAUAUACAUGCAUGUAUGAGUGGGCCUUUGGGAUUUAUUUGGAAUUGUUUGGCUCAAGGCCCAAAACAUCUAACACAAGUUACUAGUAAGUGUACCUACAACUUGGUGAGAAAGAAGAAAUGAAAAGGAGCAAGUUGGGAGCUAGCUGACAGGUCUCGUGAAUGUUGGACAUCUUCGGUAUCUAUACUAGACAUGUCUCGUAUUAGCGCUCAGUGUAGAUUCUAUUUGUAUAUUGCACUAAUCUUUGUUUUACAGGAUUGUUGGUCCUAGGCUUGUUUAGUAUAUUUCAUUUACUCUGUGGUUGGCUCUUGAGGGGUUUAUUUCUCUAAUUUGAAAUUUCCUAAUUAUUAGAAAUUCCUACACUAAUCGUUUCCGCAUUUGAAGGUGUUAAUUUUUAGAAACGCUUAUUCACCCCCCCCCCCUCUAGGCAGCAUCCUUGGUCUUUUCACUUCACUUCUAUUUUGGGACCGAUGGAGUAAAGGAUAAACAAAUGAAUUGGUUCAAAACUAAUACAACUAACAUUCCCGACAACAAUGCCAUAAAUCUUGUUGACACUUUAUGUGGCAAAUAGAUAAAUAUGCAAACACACAUAGAUGUUGAUGCAACUUUCACUCAAGAGUAUUCCAAGGCAUCAAUUUCUAUGGGGAAAGUACUAAGAAUCAAGAUCAUCCUAUAAUAGCAACAAGGGCAAAUAUAUGAAUGGAUAGAAAUGAUAUCUAUGGCUUCUAAGACACUUUCAAGAGGUGUAGAUUGUACUAAGGUUGUUCACUUUGAGACAUGACUAAAACUAGUAGUGGAAAGAGAUGAGAUGGGUACGAUGUUAUGCUACAAUGAGCCUUAUGUUUAAGAACUAGCCCUAACAUGGUGGAUUAUGUUGGCUACUGUUGAUAGUAAGAAUAACACAUUUUUCCACCAUGAAAGCAUCAUGAAUAGGCAUUAAGAUAAAAGGAAAUGAGCAUUGCAUUAGCAUAUUUUAUUCAAAAAGAAGAUCCACAUGUACAUGGAGUAAAAUGAAGCUAAGUGGGGUUGGUCGACCCCUGGUGGGCUCAACUACCCUCAAUCCUAGUGAAAAUCAAGAAAACACAUUCCUAAGCUCUCUAGACCAUUAGAUGCAAAAUGUGUUUCUUGUGAAGGGCAUUGGUGCAAUAGGAUUGGAUGGCCCACAUGACCAAGGAUUCAAACACUCAAGUGACCCACACACCAGCCUACACCUAUAUGAAUAAUAAAAUCUAUCUCAAUUUCUAAACACUAGCCCAACACUCUCAUGAUUCACACUCAUCGACACACAUUCGACUCUUCCCUCCCAUCUUGAGUUUUUUCAUCGCCCGUGAUUCCUCCUCUUCGACAACACUUAUCCCGUCAGACCCACUAUUCCUUUUGACAUCCCUGCUCUCCAGCAAUCUCCCUUACGCACUCUACACCAUGACAGCUACCCUCCCCUCCCUUGUUGACUUCACUAGAGUUGGCGGUGGUGGCCUGGCAGUGCCGGGCAUGACCUUGACAUUCUUAGGAGUGACAAAAGUGGUGGCAGUCCGAUAAGGCCAAAGCAUGGCCCUGACCUUCUCGGGGUAGCCUGGUAGUGGUGCAUAGCCUCGACCAUCUCUCAUAGCGGUAGCGUGAGGUGUAAGGCCUGGUAGCUCAGUGGGCUCAAUGGGUCAUCAAAUUAGCCCAAAAUGAUUAAGCUAGCUUAGUGUUAUGCCUAGGCCAAAGGCACAACCCAUGGAUAGGCACAACAAAGCAUGUGUUAUGCCUUCAUCGGACCUAUGUCGUGUCGGGCCAAGCGGUCCGUUUGGCCAUCUAUAGUUGUGUUAUAUGCAUAAUCAUUCCUAAAAUAAAUUGAUCAUGAAGUCCUUUUAACCUCCAAAUGUGAUGAUUUAAAGGCAUGUUUGGUUUCCUACCUUAGUUGGAGCCUGGCUAGGAUUGGAGCCUAGUUAGGCUAGACCUGUCCCCAGCAAGCCAACAUAAGUUUUGUUUGGUUGGACUGUUAUCCCUAGUCUAGUUUUCAUAAGAUUUUGUUUGGUUGUUUGUUUUGCCUUGCAUAAAAUCACCACAUAUUUAGCUUGGUAGGGUUACCCUCUUUAAAGUAUUCUGUUGAACAGGUGGUGAGCUCCAUUGUUGUGAUGUUUAUCUACUCUUUGCUGAUGAGGACCUCUGUCACACCCAUACCCAAGAUAGCCCUAAGCACCUCGCGCUGCUCCUCUUCGCCCCCUCACCGCUCUGAGGUCUUGAGCAUCACGACCACGAGCGCUUGCACUGAGCCCAUGCUGCAGAUGUCCAACACCUGUGCUGAGCCUGUGCUGUGGAUGCCACGCGGACCUAGCCUUUAGAGGCGGCAUCACCAUGGAAGUGUCGGACAUGAACAUGAAGGGACCUAUGCUCGUCGGUCCCAAUGCAACCAGAAUAUUGAGCCUCGGAGCAAGGAUACGUGGCUUCAGCAGGAACAGGGUUGAUGGAGGUUGGACCUCACGCAGAGAAGAAGGCCAUCGUGGGGCAUCCACUGAUGUCGAGCAGCAUGGUGUUGAAGGAUAUGGUGGUGGAUGCGGCAUACGGCGUGUAGUGCUUGUGCUUAGCCCCGUCUGCAAUGACGACAUGCACCAUGGCGGAUCCAUAGUCCUAGAGCAUCUUGGAGUAACCCACUUGGUUAGGGUUGACAAGCACAACGCCUGCCACGUUGGCAUCCAGUAAGAUGCGGAUGAUGCCCUGUUAGUGUCCAUCAAGGCGAUCUUGCCUAAGCACCUCCUUGUCCUCCAGUGCCUCUGCUCUUUUCGUUGGGCACGCUGCCAGUCCCUACAACAUGCGAGGCCACUGCCGCAGGGCCCUGCCUGAGUUCACAGGUGGGAGGAGCACCAGAGGAGGUGCACAUGCGGGCCGCCAGAGUUCAAGCAAAUGUGGAGCUUGCCGUCAGUGACUUCGGAGGGGUGAGCGCGAGUGACAUGGGAGGUGUGGAGAAUGGGCACCGGUGCUAAGCCAAGCCCUAACUCCCAAAAAAUGACCACCCCAUGUGUUUUUUUUAGCCUAGCUAGAGGGUGGUUGGUGGCUUCGUGGAGUGUGGUUUUAGACUCUAAACAGGCAAACACACAACCUGAACGUGCUGCCAACCAAACAGGUUCAAACUGUUUCUUAAUUGACAUAACACCAGGAACAUUGUCAGGAUGUCCUUUAUAUACCUUGGUCACUUUUGCAUGACAACAAUACUCAACGCUAGGAUGGUGAACCUAAAGUUCUUCUAGUUUCCAGUAAACCCUAAGCCAGCACCCUAAAAAAGUCGUCGAGUAUUGCAGGCGAAAAAAGUGACUUAGGGGUCGUUCAGUUGGGGCAUUAGGACGCCAACAAUUAAUUCGGCCAAGGAAAACUUCUAUAAAUUAAGUAAAGAUACUGGUCCGGACUUUUUUUCCUAGGCUCAUUCCCGGUCAAACGAAUGGGGCCUUAAAGUGUCGAGCAGAUCCCUAGGCGGAACAAAGUUGGAUCACGAUUUCAGUCCUGUUUACUUGAGCUUAUUUGUCGAAUCUGUCCGUUAUUCAACAGCGUCUUUCUCUCAUAUCAAAUCAGCGAACAACCAUAACUUUUUUUUAGAGUUCAACAACCAUAACUUUUCUGCCGAACAAGCCUUCGUCUUCAGUUUCUUGGCUAAAAAAUGUAGAGGACGUACUACAAGCUAGCGAUUCUAUUGGACGUCCGUUGCCGGCUGAUCCCACGGGCCCAAGACCCGCGCAGUCACGCCGUGCGGGAUACCAUGGAGCAUGGACUACGGCCUCGUGUGCGUGCGUGGGAUGCCGAUCCCAUCACGUUGCCGUAAGCUCUGUAGCCUUGCCUUGAUCCCGGGCUGGCGGCCCAGCCAACCACCAUAUUUAAGCGAACCGUCGCAGGGGCUAGCACGGCGAUGUGUGUGCCAGUGCCACCCACCCACUUACGACUGCGCGCACUUGAAUCGCACGUCCGCCGCGUCCAAAUCGGCCGCGCCACCGCCUGCCGUGCUGCAGUGGCGACGACGGACGCCGCCGCCGCGCGCGGGCGCGGCAGCUAGAGGACGUGCCACCUGCACCUGCCUGUCACAAUCACAACAGCCUCACACAGGUCGGUUUCUUCUUGACAGGCGCGCGCCGGCCUGGGCCGCCGCCGUUGCUACCGAUGAACGACAGCGACGGGACAGAUUGAGGGCAAGAAAGCCGAACAACCAAUCUACCGGUGCUCCAGCAAUAGCAUCACCCGGAAAAGGAAUCAGGGGGGCCAUCAGGCCAUGAACACACACACACACACAUGCAUCACACAGCUUUUUACCAGAACUUGUUUUUUUUCUUUCCAUUUAUAAUCGAAAUGAAUGUUCAUUGAAGGCUUUACAUUAAUGGAGAGAAGUCAAUACCCGAACCAUUCAUCCUCUGCUGCGGCACCAACGACAAUGGCGACAUGACAAGGAUGGGCAUGCAAGUUUUACUCCAAGGGAAAAGGAAGAAGCAACUGUGGUGGUGGCGAGGAGAAAAAAUGGCUGCAGCGAGAGGAAAGGGACAAGGUAGCAUGGUGCGUUCUUGACUCCCUCAGUCUUAUAAACCCUUCGAUGGAUCUUUGGCGCACGAACGAAUGCCUAAGGAAGAAACAAGGGGAAAAAAAAGGGAAAACUUGGCGAAUCCUGCGAAUUUUAAGCAAAGGAAAACGACACUGAAUCUAAAGGAAGAAAAGCUGUUAUGGUGGUGGUGGUGGUGGUGGUGGUGAUGGAUCAUGGAUGCUAGGUUGAUGGAGAGUGAGAGAGUUGCGUCAGCUUCGGGAGCAGCGGCAGGUGGACUCCAUGAAUGCGAGCAUUCAACGGGCCAACCAACUCUCCUCAGUCACUAUGGCGGCGGAGGGUGGCUGGCGGGAGUGAGGCGAGGCGGCGGCGGCGGCGGGACGAGUCGAUCAAGGGCCGGCGCAGUUGAGCGCGGCCUUGAUCUGCUGGACGGUGGUGCCGAUGAGGCUGUUGACGGUGGCGACGGACUCGGCGUUGAGCCUGGACGACGGCAGGUUGCUGACGAGGAUCUGGAACGCGACGGUGACCACGCAGCCCGGCUGCGACGCGAGCGGGAGGACGACGCUGCUGGACGCGCCCGCGCCGGACCCCGGGCGUCCGUCGGGGAGGAUGGCGAAGCCCGACGGCAGGAGCGGGAUGCCCGACGGGUCCUCGCCGCUCAUCACCACGUUCGCCGCCGGGAUGUCGAUCGGCGAGUACACCACCAGCGCCCCCGACGCGUCCGUGCAGCUCUCCUGGAGGAUCAGCAUGCUGUUCUGGUUCGCGUUGAGCCCCUGCAUCAUGCGACGUCGCGCACCAUCAUCGUUCAUCAUCACCACCAUCGUCACUCAAAGAUCGUCAACGACAGACACAGACACGUCGUCGUCGAGGGCCGGGCCGGGGAUUAAUUCAACAAGCACAGCAUAACAUAAUGCGCGUUUAAUGGACGACGGAGGAGGAGCAAGAAAUGAUUGAUUGAUUGAUUACUCACUCUCAGCAGGGAGAUGCAGUUGCCGGGGUUGGAGCCGUUGGGGAUGCGCGACACCUCCUGAACCUGAUUGCCGUGCGACAGGACGUCCCACUGCGCCCGGCCACAGCAAUGGCAAUGGCAGCAAACCAUUCAAGGCGUGAGCUAGCGUUAAAUGACGAGCGCGAUGCGAUGCGAUGCAUGCGGCCGCGGGUGCCGGGUGGUGGGGGUGUGGGUGUCGUGCCGUGCCGUGCCUACCUGGGAGCGCGCGUUCUCGUCGCGGACGAAGGCGAACACGUGGUCGCCGGGGACGGGCAGCCAGAUGGAGGUGGCGGCGCUGAGGACGACGCCGUUGGGCUGGCCGCCGGAGUCGGUGCUGCGGUGCGUGGACACUCGGACGCUCACGUCCGUGGUGCCGGAGAGCAGCGUCCACCGCUGCAGCGGCGACGAGCUCAGGCUCGCGCAGAAGCUGCCCACCAUCCGCUGCGACAGCUUCAUCAUGCUCCGCUUCCCCUCCGGCGUCACUGCCAAUCGAAAAGAAACCAGGAAGAACGCUCACAUUUUCUAAUAGAUAAUUCUAUCCACAGAAGUGCGGCUAGCACCGGUGCGGUGCGCGGUAUUACCUCCGGCGAUGUCGUGGUGCGGCACGCCGAGGGUGGCCACGGACGCGAACCGCUCGCACGCACGCUGCAGCGCGGCGAGCCAGCGGUGCGCCCCGAACGCGGCGCCGCUCAGCACGAGGUUGCGGUAGAGGACGUUGAUCGGGAGCAUCUGCUCGAUCUCCAUGUGUUCGACCCAGGUCACCUGCAGCACACAUGACAUGAACGUGUCAGGUCAGGUCAGGGGCACCAACCAUUCUAGUGUAGCACAGCACAGGGCAAUGCACGUGCGCGUGGAGCACAGGCUGCUAUGCUAGCUGCACAGGGGCAUGAGCUGGCCGUCUCGUCGCGCGCGUCGAUCACCUUGGAGUAGCCAUUUGACAUGUCGGCGAUGAGGCACCCCGACGGCAUGCGACGGGAGCGGGACGGCAUGCCGUAGUGGGCGUCGCGCUGCCCGUCCAGGGAGACGUCGGCGAUGGCCCACAGACCUUGCUCGAUCUGCUUGCAGUAGCGGAGGAAGCUCAGCUCGCGAGUCGGGACGACCGGCGUCAUGAUGUGCAGCUCCUCGUACAUCUGCGCGACGGCAAGACGCCAUUAGAAUGAUCACACGAGGAGAAGGCAGCAUUGUUUCCAAUGCAGAGAGAUUCGAGGGCAUUACCAUGAUCAAGGACUCGCUCCUCCCGCCCAAGCCGUUCACGAGGACAUCGACGGUCUGCGCCUUGGACACGAUGCCGGGGAAGAACUCCAUCCACUUGUUCUGCAACAACAACAGCAUCGAUCAACCACCAUCUCCAUGUACGCGAGCGCUGGUAGAGGAAGGGAAAGGAAUGUGUACGUACGGUGUCCAUGAAGACGUCGACGAGCGCGACGGCGCUCAUGAAGACGAGGCCCGAGUCCCUGGACCCCUCGACGUUCAUGUCCGGCGGGCGGAACGCGACGCCGGGCUUGGAGAAGAGGCUGUCGUAGGUGGCGACGUUGAGCAUCUCCCUGGCGUCCCCGGGCAUGCCCUUGACCCAGAUUUGGUCGCCGGCCUGGGCGAGCCGGAUGAGCUCGUCCAUGGCGCGCGUCGCCAUGUCCACCAUCAUGGGGCGCUCCAUCUCCGUCACGGGCGCCGGCAUCUGGUACGGCAUCCCGGACGAGCAGCCGCUGAGGAGGUCGAGGUCCAGCGACGGCGGCCCGCCGAGGUGGCCCUGCUGCCCGGGCAUCCCGCCCAUGGACAGGUCCAGCGACGACAUGGACAUGGUCGGCACCGGCGGCAUCUGCGUGAACGGCCGGCCGAGGUACUUGGACGUGAUGCUCGACACCCGGUCCAGCUGCAGGUCGGCAGGCGGCAGGCAUCAUUCAGAGACGUACAGUACAGAAACACACGGAGAGUGAAACGGACAGACCAGACCGGCGAGGACGUCGCCGCCGGAAACAGCGCGUCGUGGUUGGUCAACUCAUGAUUUACCUCUUCUUUCAGGCGGGCGUUCUCCAUGCGCAGCUUCUGCUCGUCGAAGAAGUCCUCGGCGACCGGCGGGCCGCCGCAGUUGGGGCAGAUGACGUUCUUGAGCGCCUCGCGCAUGGUGAUGUUCUCGCACCGGAUCUUGUCGUUCUCCGCGCGGAGGAAGCAGUUGUCCGCGCGCUCGUGCUGCGCCUGCAACGAACUCUCGCACAAGGAGCGUCGUCAUCCAUCAAGAACCCGUGGAAAAAACAAGCCGACAGAAGGUCGGAAUGAAACACGGCGACCUCGUGAACGAAAGGAAAAAAAAAAUCAAAGGAACUGGGAGACUUGUUGGUACCUUCAUCUGGGUGCGGCGGUUCUGGAACCAGAACUUGAUCUGGCGUGGCUCCAGGCCGAGCUCCCGGCUGAGCGCGGCGCGCUGGUUCUCGUCGGGGUGCGGGCACUCCUUGAACAUCCUGCAGUCACCGGCGAACACGCACCAUUACAUUCCUUCCCGUCAAUCGUCAAGACGACGACGGCCGGCCGCCGGACGCCAUCCAUCAACGUUUGAAGAAACAGCAAAAGAAAUGGAAACAAAACGAAACAAGAGAGUGGAGGAUCGUACGCUUCGAGCUGCUGAAUCUGGCGCGGGGUGUGGCGGUGGUAGCGCUUCCGCUGGCGCUGGCUGUCGGAGCCCUCAGGUUCGUCGCCGAAAUCCAUUGCCGCCGGAGGCUAGCUAGCGACCCACCUACUACUACUACUACCAACCUUCUCUUCUCCCUCUUGCUCGCUCUCCCUCCUCGCUCUACAGGUGUAGGCGAAGGAGGAGGAGGAGGAGAGAUCUCUGUGCUGUGCUGCUGCAGUAGUGCCUUGGGUGGCCUGGCCCCCUGCUCCUAUUUAUACACGACGAUGAGCAGGCCGGGCAAGACAGCGCCGGGGUGGUGGCCGCCUUCCAACUCGAGACGAGCGAUGCAGAAGCAGAAUAGGAAGGGUCUCGUGAAACCUUGGAUCCAGCCAUGCCUCACGCCAUUUCCCCCCCACCUCCGCUAGCUUCCACCUGGUUUCCUUUCCUUGCUAGCGCUUGCGCUUAUCCCUCUCCCUCCCCUUCCGGCCAGCCCGUCUCUCUCUUUCUAUCUCUAUCCCUAUUCCACGGCGACAGUUACACUUGCUGAUGCUGGCGCUCGCCGUCUCUCUCUCUCUCUCUCCUCCGGUCUUCGCCGGCCCGCUCCUUGGUCUAUGAACUGCUGCUGCCUGCCAAUCUUUCUUCCUGCUCUGGCAGGGAGAGGGAGGGAGAGGGGUGGUGCGAGGAAGCAGGAGCAGUAGUAACCGGUGCGAGCGAAUUAAGGGCCGAGGUUUUUAAGCAGGGCAGGGCGCCCGGCGAGGCCAUGACUACUCCCUUUCUCUCUCUACAGUCCCUCUGUUGGGUUUGGAUGGGAACAGCUGGAGCCAUUUAAGGCCAAACGGGUCGGGUCUGCAUGCUGCAUUUCCUCAUCAGAUUCUCCCCCCUCCCACUCCACCCGCAGGCCUCUCCACGGCUGAAUAAAUGGUAUAUUCGUUUUAUUAUUUUAUUUUUCUAUUUUUUUUCGAAUAAAUAUUUGACAACUUGUUUACAUGGAUUGUCUGCUCCAAUUCUUACUGAAUUUGGAGCUCACACCGAUAAAUCAUAAGACAUAAGUAGGUUAAUUUAGGGUAAUGCAUUUUUUUUUGUUCGUGCGGGCACGUAAUCCUAUAACGUAAAUUUGCAAAUCCGUGCAAUAUUUAGAUCUUGUAACGUAAAUUUGCACGUUCAGUUCUUAUCCGUGUCGGCAUCAAAUCCUAUAACGUAAAUUUGCAUGUAUUAUAUGAAAAUUCAAUAUGUUGUAACGUAAAUUUACAAUUUCGUGUAAUAUUUAGAUCUUGUAACGCAAAUUUGCACGUUUUGUUUUUAUCUAUGUCGGCAUCUAAUUUUUAGAUCCUGUAACGCAAAUUUGCGCGUAUUGCUUUUAUUCGUGUCGGCAUCUAAUCAUGUAACGUAAAUUUGCACGUAUUGUAUAGAAAUUUAAUCCUAUAAUGUAAAUUUGCAUAUUUGUGUAACGUUUAGAUCUUGUAACGUAAAUUUGCACGUAUUUUUUUUAUCCAUGUGGGUACAUAAUUCUAUAACGUAAAUUUGCAUGUAUUAUCUAGAAGCUUAAUUCUAUAACGUAAAUUUGGACAUACUAUUUUCAAUCUAUGCAUAUACCUAAAAUGCUAGUAACGUAAAUGUACACAUAUUAUUCUGUUAUCUGGAUGUCUAGUACUAUAACGUUAAUUUGCAUGUAGCAUGUAGUGCUUAUUUCUUAUUAAGAGAAUCAAGUUUUCAAAACUCAAACGCGUGAAUCAGAGGAUGGAUAUGCUAAAUGUUUUGUUAUCAUGUUUUCAUUCUUUCAUUCGAGCGGGAAAUGUACAUUUGAAGCAAGUAGUUCUUUGCAUUUACUAAUAUGACAAGAACUCUGUGUGAAUUAGAUUAUGGAUGCAUGAUUGAAAUGCUCCAUCAUUCUCAUGUAUUUUCCAUUCAAUCAAAUUUUCAUAACAUAAAUUUGAAGCAUGCAAUGGCUCAUACUUGCUAAUAGAUUUCGGUUAACAAAUUGUUUAUCCAAGUUUAUUUAGGGUUGGGCAGUAUUUUAUAAUAUGAAUUUGAUGCAUCAUACUUCAACUUAGUAAACUCUGUUGUGAAUUUUGUAACUAGUUAUCAAAAUGCUCCAUUAAUGUUUGCAUGUUUAUCAUCAAGAUAAUUGAUAUUUUUUAUUGUGUGCUCUUCGUUUGAGAGAAAUUUGUAUGAAUUUGACUAUAUGCUCUCUUUGAGAGAAUUUCGUAUUGAUUUCAAAAUUUUGGAGCUUAAUACUAAUGGAAAUACUUUUUGAACUACGUGAUGGAUGGUCAAUAAGUUUUGCUAAUGAUUUUGUAUUAAUUCUGUGUUCAUGGUGCAUGGUUGAUAUUUUGUACUAUAAAGUUUGCAUCACUUGGAUAACAUGUGAGGUUCCAUUUGUGUUCAUACAUACACCUUGGAAUACAUAACAUGGGGAUUAGAGAUGCAUUGCUAAAAUUAACAUCAUAGUUAUUUACAUUACACCCACAUGUUUAUUCCUAUUAGUGUUACCAACUACCAUGUAAACUCAUAAUAUGGUGUGAAUCGAUGAAAGAACUAGAGAUAUGAUAUUGACAACAAACUCCAUUAGUUUCCACCUCUAUUCUACUUGAACUGAGGCUCUUCAAGUAAUUUAUAGUCCUAUAAUCACUCAGAGCUUUUCUUGCAUGUGAUCAAAACUAGAGAAAUGAUUACUAGAACAAUGCAUUAUUGUUAUUGUGUUUCUAUUUGCAUAGUUAUUUCAAGUAGCAAUUCAUCUUGGUAAUUUAAAGUUCUACCUUUUUAUUUAUGAUGUUAUUUAAGUAACUCAAGUUUGAAAUUCAUAACAAUGAGCCAUAACUAUGAAUUGUAUAAAAUGUAGCAUGACUUAUCUUCUGGCUUCAAUUUCUUCACAUCAGUAUAUUCAUUAUGCAAGGUAGAGCCUUCAUUAGUGCAAAUUAUUGGUUGUUUCUCACGUUCUAAAAUGAGCAUACUCUUUUGAAUGUAUGACAUUAUCAAAAUGUUAAAUGUUAGUCUUCGGUCAUUCUAAAAGUCAAACCUUGUAUAUUCAACAGCAACUAAAAUGGUCAUUUAAAAAAGAACAAUUACCAUGGAUAUGCUAAAAAAACUUAUUGUAUGCAAAUAAUAUAAUUUGAUGGACAUUUAAAAAAAUCCUUAUGGUUAUAUUUUUUAUUGCAGAUUAUAGUAUAAGAGAAAUUAUAUUGUGAAAUAGGAACUAGGAUCAACGGUAAUAUUUCAUAACCAUUACUUAGCACUAGCAACAAUAUAAUCAGUAUAAUUCCUAAAAUGGUUAGAAUUGAUUAUGUUGGAUUCGGGUGCGAAUAGAUGGAGAUGCUUUGACCAAAUAGUCUUAUCGGGUUUGGUUCUUUUUUCUUUACAUCCGAAAAAACAUUCCCUACAUAUCUUGCCAAUAAAGCUUUCCAUAGUUUAGUAAGUAUUUAAUAUGCCAAUAAGUUUUUUCUACUUUAAUACCAUCUUAAUAUGGCAACCUUGAUUUUCAUACUAGAGAGUAAAUAACUAAUAUAGCAUCAUAUUUGUACUCUAUAAAGUUAGACACUUGCAUAUAAUUGGUGACACUAUAAUUGUAUUCCUAGCAACUAGCAUAUUAAUGUAAGCAUUGUGACGACCAAGAAUGGCUAGGUGUGAUGAUUCGAUGGACCAUAAUGUAUUCUUCUAGUUUAAGAUGUAGUCAUUGAAUUUAGUUGUAAUCGGGUUAAAGCAUAAAAUCUAUAUGUUCAUCAAUAUAAAAUUUAAAUUUGUUUUUAAUUGGAGCCCUUGUAAAAUAGAAGGGCUUAGGUACAUAUGUUUUAUCCCAGAUAGCAUGCCCCCAUAAAGUUGUAAUUCAACUAUUAAGUUGCAUCUAUCAUUUUAAUUUUUGCAGUCAAAGUAAACAAUACAUGGGUGUAGAGGUACUAAAAUUUUAAAAAUAAUACAUCUCUACGGUAGUUGACGAUCAAUAUCAAUGCCAAAAAUAAAGGAUGACAAAAGGAAAAAUAGCAAUCAACGAGGAUAUAAUUUAGUGUUCAUGUUCCUUGUUCCUUAACUCUAAUCACGGUUGAUUGAAAUUCCUAUGUGUGAGUUAUUGAUAAUCUAAUAAAGUUUCCACUAUAUUGUGCUCACAUAAUGGAUGGUUGUGAUUUGUGUGUAUACAUCAAAGAAUAUAUUGUUGGAUUAAAGGUAUGAGCAUACAAUUAAUGUAUUUUUAGAUUAAAACAAGAUAUUAAAUAUAUUUUUAAGAAAUGUGUCAACAUAAAGUUUAAAUAUAUAUUUUUAAGGUAUAUUAUUAAAUACACCUAAGCUAGUUCAUAACUAAACUCACAACUAGCUAGCACUAUGUAUUCUUGGCUUAAAAUUUUGUAAGACCGUGGCUUAAAAUGAAUGCCUUGUGGCUUUAAAAGUUCUUUUUGAUUAGCUACAUCUCACAAAAUUAGGUAGCACUAUGUAUUCAUUUGAUGCAGAGGCAACAUUUCAAUAUGUCAUUUGGUCAUCAAGUAUUUCAAAUACAAAAGUAAAUAAAUUUAGUUUUGUUUUUAAUUAUUUUGAUAAGUUAUCAAUAUAUUUGAUAUACUUGUUAUUUUUUAAGUUUGAUAGAUUUGGAGAAGAAGUACAUAAUCCAGGCCAUUAGUUCUCAACGGUGAACAUCAAAAUUUCCAUGUUCUACAAUAUAUAAUUACAGACCAUGGGUGUCCAGAUUACUAUCCGAUUGAACAAAAUUCUAAAAAAAUAGUUGGAAUUGAUUGUGUUGGAUUCGGAUACGAACAUAUGAGGAUUUUUUGAAUUAAACAAAUAAGAUUAUCAGAUUUGAUUUGUUUUUCUCUUUCCUCCCACAGCUGACUCUCCAGAAAAUCAUACUACUAAACUUUUCUGUCUUAUAGAAAUUGGCAAGCAUUUAAUAUGGCAUUAAAUUUCUACUAAUUAUGUUAGCACCUUAAAAUAGGAAUCUUGAUUUUGAUACUAGGCAAGAGUAAACAAUAUAGGAUCAUAUUUAAAAUAAUAUGUUAGCAUAUUAAAUGUACUACUAUAUUUCAAUGCAUGGCCACUAGCAUAAUAACGUGAUCCUAUUGUGAAAAAGAUAGUUGUGUAUCAUGGUAAAAUGUAUUAGCAUGUGACUUUCUAGUUUCGCAAUAUAUAGUUAUCAAAUUUGAUCACAGGAAACUUUACUCAUAUAUGUAGCCCAUAUGUUACCAACUUAUGAAGAUUGAGGGCUAGUUUGGUUCAAACCCUGGACUAGUUGCCUGCGUUCAAAACCUACAUGUGAACUGCCUAUACACAAUUACAAAAUUGCCUUAUUAAGCACAUGUUUAAUAUGAUUUGGUUGGUGACUUGAUACAUUGCCAGCAUGGCGAAAGGGUAUGUGUCGUUUGGUUGAGUUUGCCUAUAUUGGUUGAUGUUGAGAAGUAACUGUGAGUAUUAUUGGAGCCAGGCAACUCCUAGGAGAUCCCAGGCGAUCAACUUUGAAGGACUGGCACCAAGCAACACAUCCAAGCAGCUACAAUCAAGCAAUAAUCUUGGGAUUUGAACCAAAUAUAUCUUAGGAAGAUCUCAGCAAAGAUACCUACCAGGCAGCCAAACAUGCCCUAAAUCUUAAUUUAAUUUGCAUCGAGUCCUCAAAAAAGUUGAUUGGGUUUGAUAAUUGUGUUGUAUCCUACAGUCCUUUCAACAUCCAAACAAACUUCUAAAUUGGAUCCAUCGUUUCUAUUUACGUGGUGAAUAAUUAACUAGACACUAAUAUAAAAUAGUCUCUAGAUUAAUUUUUUUUCUCAUUUGAGGUAGUUGGUGGUUAAGACGAUGAUUGCCCAAAAUAACUUUUGGUUGCUGUGUUUUUUACUAGAGAGGUGUUAUAAAGCAAACUGAGUAAGGAUUGUUUCUCCUUCCAUCUAUUUUGAUCUAGCGCUCCUAUAUAUAUGUGAACCUCAUAUGACUAUUAAUUGAACUCUCAAGUCUCAAUAAGUAAGUAAGUGACAAGUGAACAAAAUUACCUGUAGGACGAAGUGAGAAAUUAAACCACAUUCUUUAUAUAUAAAUCAAAGAAGAUAUCAUUUGAUUAAGUGUAGUGCGAAUAUGUUAUUGCACGACAAAAUUGAAACAUGUUUGACAUUAAAUCUAUUAAUAAGAAAUAUAUGAGCACAAAGUUCAUUACAUGAUGUAUGCUUUUACACUGCCACACGUUCGGGCAUUAGCACCGGUCGGGAAGGGCCUGUUGCCCCGAUUCCCGAGCCGGUGCUGCCCUUCCGGGACUAAAGGCCCACCCUUUAGUCCCGGUUCCGUUAACCGGGGCUAAAGCCCCCCCUUUAACACCGGUUGGUAACACCAACCGGUGUUAAAGGGUCCUGCCAGGGCUGCCACGUUGCAGGACCCUUUAACACCGGUUGGUAUUACCAACCGGUGUUAAAGGGUUUCUUUUUCUUUUUUUUUUGGUUCACUUCUUCGGUUCUGUUUAUUGUUUAUAUAUAAUAUAUAAUAAUAGGUUUUUCAAUACAUGUUUUGCUGAUACAAUAAUAUAUUUAUAUUACACGCAUAUUAAGCAUACAUAAAUGAAAAUUAUAGGCUAAGCUUAAUAGUUAAGCUUUGCCUAUAAUAAAAUGAAUAGACCACAUCAAAAAUUAAAUAUAUAUGUAAAAAGCUUUAUAUAUAUAUAGUUUUAUAUGUACAAAAUUCGUAACACAUAUAUACAUAGAGUUUGUUCUCCCAAUGUCUACAAACGAUACAAAUGAUCAUCGUUGUUUGGUAUAAGAGUUUCGUUGCCGUUGAAGUGAAACUCGCCGUUUGGAUUGAUCACUUGGUCGCGGAGAAAUCCUGCUAUCGUCUCUUGGAUAGCUUUGAUUCGGUCUUGUUGUAGGACCUUUUCCCUCAGCCAUUCCGUCUUUAAUUUGAAAUAAAUAAAAAAGGUAUUAGUUAUCUAAGUUAUUCAAUAUAAUUCAGGAGAUAAUGAAAAGAGACAUGUAACGUACUCUGAGCGUCUCUGUGGGUGUUUGAUUGACUUGUGCCAUCAUGAAUUUGCACACGUAAUAUGCACAUAGAUUGUUUCCCCAUUCUUGUCUUAAACACCACUGUACGAUGUAUAUAUAUAUAAAAAUAUUCAUGACCACGACAAUAAGAAGGCUAAAAGUUAGCGAAAGUUUGUUAGCUAGUAGAACUUACUUGUGGAUGUAUUAUGUUAAGCGGCGCUUUACAUCCACUGAGAUGUUCACGGUCAAUGAAUCUUUCCCAAACCCUAUACACAGCCAUUGUGGAUCGUGAACUAAUAAUUACAGAGUCAUAUUAUGAUAUUUUUGUAGCUGAGAUCGACAUUACGUACCUUUGAAUAACGUUUACCAUUUGUUGAUAAUUUUCUUGUGGUUUUCUCAUUGAGUCAAAGAUUAUCAAUCGGUUCUUGGGAAUUUCAAUGACCAAGAGUAUCCAGUGAAAGCUGUUUACACACACAUAUAUAGGGUCAGUCCUAUAAUGUAAAAUAAAAUAUGCAUGCACUUAAUAACUAUAUAACUCACUCGAAGUUGAAGGGGAAGAGUAUUUUUUGUUUUUCUUUUUGGUUUACAAAGAACCUCAUAAGAUUGGUGCAGAUUUCUGUCUCAUAAUCUGCUGUCCACACUGCCUGCGGAGCCUUAAAAACAAUAUAAGGGUCAACGAACCCAAUACUAUUGUCAUUUCUCAUUCUGAGUUCUCUCAUUUGGUGCCUGCAUAUAUACAUACAAAUCCUAAGUGUGUAAGGAUUAUAUACAUGUAAUUAAAGAAGUUGGCUCACUGCCUCACCACCUUCAGCCUCAACCACCUGUGCAAAAGAUUUCUUAAUGUGUUUAAUGUAUUCUUCCUCCCAGUACCAACCUGUACAUCCGCCGGUACCGUCCCACUGAAAUUAAAAGAGAGAAUCAAAAGUUUAAUUAAUAUCAUUUAAAAAAAUAUGCACAUAUAUAAGCAAAUGUCUGGAAAUAACUCACAUUACGAUCUGGACACUUGUAGAAUAUACGACCCUUGUUUACUCCCUCUUUCGACACUUUGUACUCCAUCAAAAUCUUCUGCCCACACUUGCCACAAGUAAUGAGAGGGAGUUCCGGACGGUAUCGCUUUUGAACCCGUUGAGAGACUGAAGACCCGGUCACGGUUGCCAUCUACUAUCCAUACUCAAUUUUAAAACAAUUAUAAAUUCCACAUUUACUAGUAAACAUGUAUGAUACAAUGGACAUUAUAUGUAGUAAUAAAAAUAAAUCAAGUGAUAUUAACAAACCAAUUAAUUUGAACUAUCCUACUUUCUAUGAUCAUAAAAAUAUACUAUAAUUCAUUCUUGCAAAAUACAUUAAAACUAGGUCAACCAUGAAAUAUGAUAUAUAUAUAUGGAUACUAAUUCAUGUGAAUGAUUCAAAAUAACAAAGUGGAUUUGAGCUAAAAAAUGAUGGGAACAUCACAAGCCAAAAACAACAUGAAAAAAACAAGAAAGGCUGAAGUUAGUCACCUCUAAGCGCGAAGAGACGAUGACGGAGUCGAAGAAGAUCAACGAUGGGCGUUGGAGAUGAAGAACAAAUGAAGAACAAGCAAGAAGAAGCUCCAAGAACAACAAUGGUGCUCUCGGUUUCAAAUGGGCAGAGGGGAGGAGGGAACCGGCCUAUAAACUGGACCUUUAGCACCGGUUCAGGGAAAAAACCGGUGCUAAAGGGUUACCUUUUAGCACCGGUUUGUAACACAAACCGGUGCUAAAGUGUUUGCCUCGGCCCGUGGCUCUGGCCGGUGCUAAAGGGACCCCUUUAGCACCGGUUUGUAACACGAACCGGUGCUAAAGGGUCUCUGCCCCGACAGCACAUGUCAGUAGCCGUUGGGCAGGACCCUUUAGCACCGGUUCGUGACACAAACCGGUGCUAAAGGGAUCUUUAACCCCGGGCCGCAAAAAGGCCGAGGUUUUUGGCCAUUUUAGGCAUCGACCAAUGCCUCAUUCUGUAGUAGUGUUAGUCAUGCAAGAGUAGUGAAAUAAAUAGUCCGAUCAAUUAUGUAUAGAUGAUCCUAUAUUGCAAACAAAUAAUGGUUAUGUCAUAAAAUUAAAGUUUUUUUAUUAACAACAUCUUACAAACUUAUGGCUUUUAUAAUUGAUUGUAGGUAAUGUUCAUGCUUGGAACCUUCCUGGCCAAAACGGUACCAGGUCUUACGCAAUGGUUGACGAAGGCGUUUCUUCUGAAACUGAAAAAAAAAUGUCUAGUAAAUUGAUUCCUUUGUAUGUAUUUGCGUAUAUAGGUUUCACAAAAUAUAGAAAUGUAAAAAGUCUCACUAUAAGGCAUCGAGAAAUGUGAAAGAAAAAUACCAAAUUCAAUUUGUCCCGCUGUUCAUUGUUGAGAAAACCAUGCAUGGACGCACAAAGACAAAAGUGUCUAUAUUAAUUAUACACAAGCAAAUGAGAUCCCACACACACAAAAAGUGACGUGCAGAUUCUUCAAAUGGGUUCCAGGCCGCCGUCGGCCUCGCGCUAUUAUGAAGAACUGAAGAAGCAGCCUACUACGUACUGUCUCAACUCGGAUCGCAGGACAACGACGAACGGUGCGUAUGAGCACGCGCCGUAUCGACACGAGCAUUCACCCAUGAGCAGUGAGGCUGCAGUGCGUGCAUCCAUCCAUCAACCUCGGCUGCUCCAAGCAACAGAGCAAUAGCAUGUAGGAGUAUAUGUAUGUACUUCCUCCGUCCACGAAAGAAUCAAUUCCUAGGAUCCGUGCCAGUUAAAUUUUUUAAAGUUUGACUAACUUUAUAGAAAAGAGUAACAACAUCUAUAAUAUAAAAUGCACAUUAUAUGAAAAUAUAUUUUAUGAUGAAUCUAAUAAUACUAAUUUGAUACUAUAAAUUUUAGCAUUUUUUCUAGAAAUUUAGUCAAAGUUAAAAAGGAUUGACUUAGGACAACUUUAGAAAUUGACUCUUUCGUGGACAAAGACACAACGAGCCAGGUAGAACACUGCAACGAGACAACGACGACGACGAGCUAGGGGGUUCGGAUUUCCCUCUCGGUCGACUGGGCUGCACAGGGCACAGGGCACGCCCCCCGGCCGGCCGGGUGCCCCGGUUGCAGUUGCAGUUGCAGGCUCCCAGCCAGAGACCGGACACGGUGGAAGUCCAGCACACGACACGCCGCCGGGCCGGCGGCACCGAUUGGGCGUUGGCGUUUCGGGGCAGCAGCAGCAGCAGAUCGAUUUCGACGGGGAUGGAGGCGGUGGAAUGGAAGGCGGGGUGGAGUCGAAAUCGUUGCCGCUUCCGGGUCGGUCGAGCUGUGGCUGCCCAUCCCUGUACUUGCGGCACCCAGCUGUGCUCGGUUCGGCAAAUCCGCGCGGCCGCUGGAGAAAUGCCGCUUGUCUCCACACUGCCGAAGUGGACGCGCGCUGGCCCUUUUCCUUGCAAAAAAGCCGUCGCGGCGUUCGCUGCCGCCGGCAGCGGUAAAAGACGCCUUUGGCUUGUAGCCCAGGAUGAUCCGAUAGCACUAGCAGUAGCAGCUGCAGCCGGCUCUGGCGCCUCGCAAUCGCAAGUGGAUACGGUCGCGAAAGCGGGGCAAGAAAAAGGCUCGAUCUAUCGGACUGGACUCUGGAUGCUACGCAUCCUUCCGUGAUAGCUGACAGUUCGGUCGUUGCAUUUUUGGCCUAAAAAUUUUGCAAAAUUUUUCAGAUUUUCCGUCACUCGAAUCUUUAGACGUAUGCAUGAAGUAUUAAAUAUAAAUAAAAAUAAAAACUAAUUGCACAGUUUGGUCGGAAUUGACGAGACGAAUCUUUUGAGCCUAGUUGGUCUAUAAUUGGACAAUAUUUGUCAAAUACAAACGAAAGUGUUACUAUUCAUAUUUUGCAAAAAUUUUUGGAACUAAACAAGGCCUUAGUUUCCCAAAAAUUUUGCAAAAUUUUUUAGAUUCCCCGUCACAUCGAAUCUUUAGACGUAUGCAUGGAGUAUUAAAUAUAAAUAAAAAUAAAAACUAAUUGUACAGUUUGAUCGGAAUUGACGAGACGAAUCUACAAACAAAAAUGCUACUAUUCCUAUUUUAUAAAUUUUUUUAAAGUACACAAGGCCAAUUUGUUUCACGUUUUCAAAAUUUUAUAUUAAAAAAAAACAACGUUUCCCGUUCAGUUUUUUUAGGGAGAACACAUAUACAAAACAAUCAUAUGCAAAGUCAACAGGAAUCCAUUUCGUCACUGGCUCGGUGACAGUACUAGCAACGAUUGGAGUACGGGACCUUGGACCAGCUCACAAGUCACAGCGCAUCCAUCUCCGCCUGACGAGUGACGAGGGAGAAGGGCUCACCGCUCACGCACACGUGGCGCUGGCCAUCCGGGCCCAGUGCCACGGAGGCGCCAGGCCUGGCCGCUGGCCCCCGGGGCGGGACUACUACACCACUAGCAGACUAGCAGGCCAACCCGCAAGCGACUGGGCCCCGCGGCUCAUUAGAUUUAGUGGGGCCCGAGGUGGCGGGAAGGGGGUUGAUUUCAAUCGGGCCCGCGCCCUCCCUGGCGGCCGUACCCUCUCCGCGUUAACGUCCGUCCUCAGUCCUCCUUUGCUGUGCUGCGCUGUGCGCCCCCGCCCCGGUCCCCCGCCCCGGCCCCGCCCUGUAUUGUAGCUGCGGUGGUGGGCCUCCCCGCCGGGAUCGGAAAAGCCUCGCACGCAGCGCAGCAUCUCAUCCGCGCGCGCGUGUGCGUACCUGUUGCCUGUGGUCUGCUCGGAUGAGAACGCGGGCGGGCCGGGCCUGUCACCUGUGGGCUGCGCUCGGGACACCCGACGAGGCCGAGAGUGCAUUUCACGAACGAGCGCCCACCAACACUAGAGGCCCGGCGUCGAUUCUCAGCCCAUCAUCAAUCUUGGAAAAAUAUCUAGCAGCAAGGUACUAAAUAGCAUUUGUAGCAACCGCUAUAGCGGCCUCAAUAGUGGUAGAGGUGCCUUACUGCUACGCCCGUAGUUGCUUGGAUAUAGCGGGUUGGAACUUAGUGCUCAUUAUUUAGGUAAUGUAUCGUAUGUAACCUAGCUUCGUGUGCAAUCUAUACAACCAGCAAUUAAGGCCACAGGAUCACAACAAACCACUAUAGUGACUAUUAUUGACGUAGCAGUCCGCCAUAGCAGCCCAAGUCUAGAGCAUAACUAGUUAAUUCUUAAUUAAAAUAUAUUUGAUCCAAGAAUCAACUCAUCGAAUAAAAUUAUAUAUAUAUAUAUAUAUAUAUACUAUUUAAUUUACAUAUUUAUUAGUCUAUUGUUCAUUUCUAUUUAGUUGAUUUAUUAAUAUAUAUAUAUAUAUAAGAAAAUCAUUAUUCUUAGCAUCUGCUAAUAUGCUAUAGUGCCCGCUAUCUGCAAUCCGCUAUGUACACAUCAAUCCGCUAUAGACCUGCUAACCGUUAUUUUCUUAUCUUGCUGGUAGGUAUCUCUAUCUAAGAUCUUCUUGGGAUAUGUUUAUUAAUUCAAAUCCUAUUGCUUCAUUGUAGCUACCCGGAUGUGUUGCCUGGUGCCAAUCCUUCAAAAUCGAUCACCCUAGGAGUUGCCUGGCUCCAACUAAUGCUCAUAAUUACUUGGUAAAGUCAACCCGAUGGUGUGUGCUUCUUUGGCCAUUCAGGCAAUGUAUUAUUCCACCAACCAAAUGGUAUGAUGGAUUUGACAUGUGCCUGGUUAGGUACUUUUGUAAUCGCGUAUCUGCCUAAGAUCUUCCUGGGAUAUGUUUGGUUCAAACCCUGAGAUUAUUGCUUGACUGUAGCUGCCUAGAUGUAUUGCUUGGUGUCAGUCCUUCAAAAAUUGAUCGUCUAACAUCUCUUGGGAGUUGACUGGCUCCAAUUAAUGCUCAUUGUGACUUUCUCAAUAUCAAUCAACACAGGCAAACUCAAUCAAAUAGCGCGUGCCCCUUUGGCCAUUCAGCCAAUGUAUCAUUCCACCAACCAAAUGAUACUACGGAUUUGACAUAUGUCUUGUUAGGCAUACACUGAUUUUUUGCGUGCAUCAUCAAAGUAAAUGAGCCGAUGGGCCUGUGAGAUAGUUCGCUCAUUGCAACAAAAUCUACGAAUCAAGAUCCGUAUUAACGAUCCUUUCGAUGUGUACUGAAAAACAACAAUUCGUGGGUCCUGCGUGUCAUACAUUAGGAUUCUCGCUUGGCCACCAUCUAAACAUAUCUAACAUUGGAGUAAGAAUUUUUUCAGAUGGCUCCGUGCUUCACCUUUUCACUGAUCCCCUCACCUGGCCCCCAAAUCGGAUCCACCUCGACAAGCCCGCAAGCGGGCUUCUCCUUCUGCCACGGCCCAAAAAGUAGCCGUUGUCUUUCCCCAAAUCCGCCCACCUCUCCUCCCAGGCAGAUGUGCCCGUGCCCCCCAUUUGGUCAUUUCCUCUCCCAUAAUUAACGCGGCCGUUACGCUCUCGCCUCGCUCUCUGUCCCCCCCACCAUUUCAAACUCGAACCACAUCGCACCGCGCCGCGAGUCCGAAAAGAGAUCCCCGCGCCCCGCCUCCAGCAUCAAUCGACAGCAAGGGGCAACGCAAGGCGCCGGGACGUUCUCGGAACCGGAGGCGAGGCGGGGAGGGGAUCGCAUCGGAUCGGAUGGUGGAGGCUGGCGCGAGCUUCAUGGUAACCGGACUCGAUCCCUCGCCCUUUCCUCUCUUCGGCCGGCCGUCCACCCCCGAGUGCGCGAUCGAUAGGGUCGCCGUUGCCCGCUGGUGUUUGCUGACCAUGGGUGGGGUUUGUUUGCGGGCGCAGGACAAGGUCGUGGCGGUGGCGGACGACGUCGUCGUCGUCGACGGGGCGAGCGUGGGCGUCGGGGACGCACGGAAGGAGGGGAAGCAGGAUGAGGAGGAGAUGGCGCCCGUGGAGCCCCUGCCGGAGCCUCCCGACGACGGCGGGCCCGUCGCGUGGCCCAUGCCGGACUUCUGCCCUCUCACGGUGAGUGAUUCAUUUUCAAUCCUCCAUCCACCUGGAUUCGAUUCGAAUCCCUCCCACACCGCAACUGAAGACGAAACGCUGUUUCUCUUGUCUGAUCGUCAGAUCGAUGGGGUGCUGAAGGAGUCGUUCCUGGAGACUCUGCGGAAGGACGCAGCGGAGAUGGAGCGGCCUGCGCGGGAGGAGUCCGAGGCGGAGGAAGCGCUCAGCCCGGACUCGCGGCCGUCGAGCAGCAAGCGCCACCGCGCCGGCACCGCCUCGCCGUCGUCCAGGAGCAGCCCCUACCGCAACAUCCUGCAGGUGUUCCAGCAGUGCAGGCAGGACGCCGCCGAGGAGACUCCCACCAAGAAUUACUGAAAGCCGACGAGCACAAGCGCAACAGAGCAGCAUCAGGCCGCGCCGCGAUGUCACGGCUUUUCGCCGCCUGCUUGCUCGAGAACUAACGCUUGCCAUUUUGUCCAUUCGUUUAGUUGCCGUUUGCACAUUGUUCUUGAUGUGGCUGAAAAUGGGUAGUAGGGAGUUUUUUAUUCUUGUGUAAAGAUCGGAUAUAGAAGUUACAGGACCUCAGUAAAGAACGCCAUGAGAAAUGCAGUUUGGUAAUUCUCUUCCCAUAUGUUACAACUUACAAGUCGAUUUGUGGCACGCGUCGUUUCAUAAAUUUUCCCAUAUGUUACAACUUACAAGUCGAUUUGUGGCAUGCGUCGUUUCAAAAAUUCGGUAUUUGGCAUGACACAAGACAAUGAGGCAUGUCGGCAUGUGCAAUGUGUAAAUUGUAAAACCAUCACUAAUCAAGACACCUACCUAAGUGAAAGUCCUCUCAACCAAAAGUCCAAAACAACAGCUGGAGAAAACGAGCAGAGUUUGGCAAACGCCUGACAAGUAGUGGAAAAUGAUGGCAGAAAUAAGCAACAAAAAGCUUUAUUGCAAACGAGGGCAUUGUUACAAUUAUGUUCUAUGAUGGACACGUUACAGAAUAUAUAUAUCCAUUUCAAGUCGCCAGUUUGGCCAAAAUCACCAUAUCUAAUAUCUUAACUUCGUAUGUGUCGUCAAGCCUCACUAUUCCGUCAGAACCAUCUAUACCUAUGAGUUUUCCUGUGUAUCCACGGAAAUUACCAUUCAAUAUCUUGAUCUUGUCACUCUUCUUUGGCCUGAUGACCUCGACCUCGUUUGGAAGGACUGUCACCAUGUCACCGUUGCCCGACGACCCAAGUGCAACUCGGCAAGAUCCAUCCUGUAAGUUAAAGGGGAUAUAAGCAAUGGGAAGAGACAAAAAAAACAGAAUUUUGUAUUCCACCAUACAGCGUGCAACACAUACCCCGAGUACUUCCCUAACCACACCAGGACCAUCAUCACCUCCCCUCAAUACAUUGACCAUAACAUCCGGCAACAACCAUGUACCAUCACCCUCACCACCUGCAGGCAUUUCAGCACAC
rnacentral:lncRNA from 1 species